GAGCGGGUCAAUGCUAUUGCUUCAAGGAAGGGUUGUACUCCAUCACAGCUAGCGUUGGCCUGGGUCCAUCACCAAGGCAAUGAUGUUUGCCCCAUACCUGGCACUACCAAGAUUGAGAACCUCGAUCAGAAUAUAGGAGCUUUGUGUGUAAAACUGUCUGCAGAGGAAAUGGCAGAACUUGAAUCUAUUGCUUCAUCUAUCAAGGGUGAGAGAUAUGCGUCUGACGCUGGCACUUGGAAAACUUCUGAAACUCCACCUUUGUCAACCUGGAAGUGCACAUGAAGAAGAGCAAGUUCACUUUGAUAUUAAGUGGACUUACUGUUCUGGUUUUGGCUUGGAAGAGCACAUGAAGUGCAAGUUUGGUUUGGUACUUCGUUGGAAGACCACAAAGUGCACAAGUUUGGUUUGAUACUUUGUGGACUUUUGUUUUAGUUUAGCUUUUCUUGUGGAAUAAUCAUCAGGUACAACAUGUUAUGUCCUGAGUUCCGGAGCAAUCAUGAGGUAGAACAGUAUUAUGUCCUGGUUUCUGAAUGUAAUAAAAUCCUAGCGCGUAGAGUUGGCACAAAUUAACUUUUGUGCAAAAUUGCUUAUUAGGUUUCGGCUGUGCAGCUAUUUGAACUUAUCGGGGAUGAUUUCACCAUAGAGAUGUAAUGCAGUUGUAUUUUGAACCUAUAAUUUAAUUUGACGUUUGUAUGUUGAUUUCCUAUUUUCUACUUUUAUUAUGAUACUUGCUGUUUGAGAGAGGUCAUUUCAGUCGGGCUUCGCUGAGCCGAGCUCCCCCUUCUCUGAAUAAAACUCUGUUAAUCCUCACCUUGGCCUCCUUGUACCGAGACGAGGAUCACACACCUAAGGUUGAACCACCCGUUCCUAUUACUCCGGCUACCGCGGUCACCACCCUAAAGUUUCAUUGUGUCUGAUGGAACGGGCGAAGUCAGGUCAACACCUACACGGACAGGACGUCUAAUAAGACAUGUCCUCAACACCGACCUGUCAAGAUAGAUUGACAUGCUCAGUCUUUUAGAUUCUAGGAAGUUGAAUCCUACUGUCAUUCCCUUCCAAUUGUCUCCUAUAAAUACAGAGAUUUCACUCAAAAAAGCACACGAAAAAAAAAUACACUCUGUAAGAACUACUCUAACGAAAAAUUUCACUACUUUCCAUUCCAAAAAGAAGACUAACUACAUCGUUGGAGGAAAAUUGGGGGAUUCAGCCCCAUCUCUAAUAAUUUGAGCAUGUGACUUCCGCAAGACAGUACCCACUUCAGGAGGUCACUCCCGCACUUUGAUACAACUUGUCAACUCCAAAAAUUAUCUCUUCAAUUGGCACCGUCUAUGGAAACCGCAAAGACAUCCAAGAAUGAAACCUACGCGUUCUAGGAGCAGGAAGGUUCUCACCAUUGAGGCUGAGCCAAGUGCUGCAGCCCAACCGGAAAAUGUUUCCGAAGAACAGGAGUCUCAUGAGGCUCGACCCACGAAUGGAGAAGCCAUGGCCCGAAUGGCAAAGUUUGUGGCUGAGAAUCCUAAUAUUUUCAAAGAGUUAAGAAGAUAUUUCAAGAGACAAGGUAAACAAAAAGCCGAAUUUUCUAAGAGAAAGCCAGAUGAAUCUUCCGAGGUCCCAUUCGAGGAAGAAUCGGAUGGAAGACAUUCUAACAGGAGCACCCCGAACGGGCCUCAUCCAAGGUUAUUUCGAGAAUUGCCUCCAUUUCUAGGGCAAUCUUACGGGGUUUCCUGGGGAAACAAGUCGAAGACGAACCUCGCGAUCGAAAAGGUUGGAGGUGGAUUACAUGAGAGCUCCGCCUUUCACGGAUAGCAUUAAUGAAGAGAGGGUCCCCCCCCCAAACUUUAAACUCCCAACGUUGCUACCUUAUGAUGGCCGAGGUGAUCCUGAGAAUCAUCUCCAUGCUUUUAUCUCAGCUUUUCGAUUAUCUGGUGUCUCUGACUCAGUUAUUUGUCGAAUUUUUCCGGUCUUUCUUCAAGAGACUGCUCGAAAAUGGUUCUGCGGUCUAGAAUCUAGGAGCAUAUUCUCCCUAGGAGAGCUGAUGAAUAAAUUUAUCCAUCGGUUUAUAUCUUCCAGGCCAACGACAAAGACCUCGGCCUAUCUGCUAAAUAUACAGCAGAAUUCGGGGCAGUCUCUCCGUUCUUAUAUACAAAGAUUUCAAGAUAAGAGCGUGCAGAUACCUGAUCCUAACAAAAAGGUAAUCAUAGCCGCCUUUACAAAUGGGUUUAUUGUCGAAGAGUUGAACACCGAAGUGCACAAAAAAUACCUUCGAACACUUCGGGAAUUGUGGCAAAAGGUCGAGAAAGGCAUACAGUCUGAGGACUUGAACCGCAUAAAUAGAGAAGCCCAAAUAGCUUGAUCAGGGCCUGAUUCCCGAAAGAAGAAGGAAUCAAGUCGAGGUGACCCUGGCACUACUGGCGGUUUUCAGAGUCUCAACCAAGAUCGCUGAAGCGUCUUUGACCGAAUUGCCAAGGGAAAGUCGUUUGUCCCUGAUUCCGACCUAACACCCUUAAAUACCAACCGAUCUUAUAUCCUUGCUCUCAUGGAGCAGAAUCACCUCGGACGUGCUCCCCCAAGAAUGGCCGGAAAAAGAGAAAAGAGAAACUCCAACCUCUAUUGUGCUUAUCAUCGAGGUAUUGGACACGAAACCGAGGAUUGUAGCGAUUUGAAGAAAGACAUUGAGAAUUUAAUAAAGCAAGGGUAUCUGAAACAAUUUGUUCGCAGAGAUGGAGACCACAACAGAAGUGACUCCCGCCGCGACAACCGAGGUGAGCAACGCCUGGAGGAUAGGCAGAGACCACGUAGCAGUUGCCGAUCCCUGAGGAUCCUAGGAAGACGAGAAGGCCUCUCCAAGGUGGGUCCUCCGAUUAUGGGCCGAACAUAGUCGGGAUUAUCAACACCAUAGCUAGAGGUCCUAUGGAAAGGGAUAGUUAAAACUCCUGAAAAAGAAUCUAUAAACAGGCUAAUCCAGAACAGGUCGAGAGCAGCUCCCGUCUUACUGAGACAAUCACGUAUGGCCCAAGUGACCCCGUCCCAACUGCUUCCAGUAGUCACGAGGCCUUGGUGAUAGAGUUGCUCACCAACAAUUAUAUAGUGAAGAAAGUGUAUGUCGACCCCAGCAGUUCGAUAGAUGUCAUGUAUUACCGAACCUUCAAAAUCUUGAUAUUAACCAGGGAUCAGCUCAUAUCUGUAAAGACCCCUUUAGUAGGGUUCAGGAGACACGUGGUCCACCCGCAAGGGAUAGUUACGUUUAUGGUGACCAUUGGGUGCCACCCUUAAUGCCGAACCAUUUCUGUCAAUUUUGUCGUAGUCAAAGCUAAUUCCCCAUAUAAUUUACUUAUGGGUCGACCCACCUUGAAUGCGCUACAGGCUGCGUAUUCAACCUAUCACUUAAGCUUUAAAUUUUCAACUCUCACAGGCAUCGUCGAGGUAAGCAGCGAUGUCUGUGUAGCAAGAGAAUGCUAUUUUGCUACCCUGCAGGCCGCCUUUUCUUCAACGGCCGAACCGAAAAUUGAGGAUAGGAGGUCUAAUAUUCUCUCGAUAGAUUGUAUAGAUCCUCAACAGUCCGGGAAGCCUAAAAAGCUAGAGACCAAAGAUGAGGUAGAAAAAAUUCCUCUGAAUCCUUUGAACCCGGAUCAAACCAUUCGCGUUGGCACCAGCCUAUCUGAGCCUCUCAAAGGCGAGCUAACCUUCUCAAAGAAUACCAGAACGUCUUCGCCUGGAUUGCCGAACAAGUUGUGGGGGUACCCCAUCAACUUAUGCUGUAUGAACUGAACGUCGACCCGCGUGCACGACCAGUUAAGCAAAAGAGGAGGCACUUCGGCCCGGAACGCAAUAAAAUCGUAGCCGAGGAGACGAACAAGCUCUUACCGGCGCGGAUGAUUAAAGAGGUGCAAUGUUCCAUCUGGCUGUCCAACCCUGUUAUGGUCAAGAAGGAUACCGGGGGUAGAGGAUGUGCUUAGAUUUUACUGAUUUGAACAAGGCCUGCCCUAAGAAUUGCUACCUACUGUCGAGAAUUGACGCUUUGGUCAACUGGAUAUUGGGUUACGAGAUCCUCUACUUCCUUGAUGCCUUUAAAGACUAUCAUCAGAUGAGAAUGAAUGAAGAGUACCAAGAGAAAACAGCCUUCUUCACAGAUCAGGAAAUCUACUGUUACACCACCAUGCCCUUCGGCUUGAAGAACACUCGGGCGACGUAUCAGCGACUGGUUAACCGGAUUUUUAAAUUUCAAAUAGGUAGGAAUGUUGAAGCGUAUGUGGACGAUAUCCUCCUGAAAAGCAAGGAGACCUCGGCUUUCUUAUCCGACGUGAGGGAGGUCCUUAGGAUCCUCCGCAACACUCGAAUGAUGUUCAAUCCCAAGAAGUGCGUGUUUGGCGCGAUUUCGAGAAAUUCUUGGGAUACCUUGCAUCACGCCGAGGUAUAGAAACUAAUCCUGAUAAAGUGAAGGCCAUUCAAAAAAUGUCUUCACCUCGAAAUUUCCGAGAUGUACAAAGACUAACAGGUUGGCUGGCAGCUCUGAACCGGUUCUUGUCCCUGUUUGCUGUCAAGGCACUGCCCUUCUUCAAAGUAUUGAAGAAGACUGACAAGUUCUCUUAGACCGAGAAGUGCCAGUAGGCCUUUGAGCAAAUGAAGGAGCACCUGCACCACCUUCCCACUCUUAAUUCACCACGCCCAGGAGAGAGUUAUAUCUUUACCUGUCUGCUGCUGAGGAGGCUGUGAGCACGGUGCUAAUACAAGAUAAUAGUGCCCAAGUGCCGGUUUACUAUGUUAGCUGAGUUCUCCGCGGGCCGAAGACUCAAUACAUCCGUGUAGAGAAACUCAUAUUAGGUUUGGUUCAUGUAGCUCACAGGUUAAAACCUAAUUUCUUAACUCACCCCAUACGUUUGAGAACAGAUCAGCCCAUUAGGCAGAUCCUGUCGCGUCCCGAGACUUUCGGACGACUCACCAAGUGGGCCAUAGAGCGAGGGGAAUACGAUCUAACCUAUGAACCUCGGACUGCCAUCAAGGCUCUGGCUCUGGCAGAUUUCUUGGCCGAACUCACAUUUCCCGUGAGCCAAGAAGCCACUCUGGAUGACGCCGAAUCGCAAAAGUGGACCUUGUACGUGAACGAGUCAUCUAACAGUGAUGGUAGUGGAGAUAGACUGCUCCUCGAAGACCCUCACGGGGAGGCAUGCUCAUAUGCCAUCUAAUUCGAUUUCACCGCCUCUAACAAUGAAGCUGAGUACGAGACUGUCAUCGCGGACUUACAAUUAGUUCGCAGACUUGGUGCUCAACGUAUUUUAGUCUAUAGCGACUCACAACUCGUCAUAUGUCAAGUACUAGGGGAGUAUGAAACUAGAGAGGAAACCAUGCAAUGGUAUCUCUCCAAAAUCCACCAGUUAGCGGCCUACUUCAAAUCCUUUGAAAUCCAAAGGAUACCUCGGUUCUAGAAUAGGCGAGCAGAUGCCCUAUCCAGGUUGGCCCCCACCUUGUUAUCUGCGCUCAACCAGACUGUUCUCGUGGAGGUCUUAACCGAACCGGAUUACCUAGAGGAUAAGGUCUACCCUAUAAGUUCAGAAGACACCUGGAUGAGUCCUCUAAUCAGAUUCUUAGGUCAGGGUGUCCUUCCGGACGAUAAGGCAGAAACGAGAACAAUUCAGUGCAAAGUGGUCCGAUAUGCACUUCGCGACGGCAACCUGUACAAACGAUCCUAUCUCGACCCAUGGGUGCGGUGUGUUACCGUAGAGCAAGGGCAAAAUGCCUUCCAGGAUAUACAUGAAGGACUGUGUGACGCUCACGUCGACUAUCGGAUGUUGGUUAAGAAGACUUUGUUCCUUGGAUAUUUCUAGCCAACCAUUCGGUGAGAUGCCCAAUUUAGUCCUUUGCUGUCCCUCCUGCCAGCACCAUGCCUAGGAGCACCACCAGCCAACUAGUCUCAUGGUCCCCAUCACAUCAUUAUGGCCUUUUGAGCAAUGAGGGACAGAUAUUAUUGGACGCUUCUCGAGCCGUCGACAAUUAUGCUUAUGUGGUGGCCGCUGUUGAUUAUUUCACGAAAUGGGUUGUGGCCUGACCAUCCAGAAAUUCUUUUGGAAGUGUGUAGUUUGUCGCUUUGGUUUGCCUCGGAUAAUCAUCUCUGACAACGGGAAGCAGUUUGCGGAUAACCCUUUCAAGGCAUGGUACGAAAAUCUUGGGAUCAAACAACACUUUACCUCGGUGGGUCACCUCCAAGCCAACGGUUGGGUCGAGAAUUUUAAUCGAACACUUCUCCACAACCUCAAAACUAGGCUACAUCAGCUCGGAUCUUUUUGGGUGGACGAACUCCUGAGCAUGCUGUGGUCUUACCGAACCACGCCAAGAUCCGCUAUUUAGGAAACUCCAUUUUCCUUAACCUAUGGGUCCGAGGCAGUGGUUCCUGCCGAAUUUCCCACUCCAAGUUCUCGAAUGGUGGCUUUCACUGUCGUGGCUAAUGAAGAAGAGCGAAAAAUGAAUCUCGACCUCGCUAAGGAGAAGCGAGAUGCCGCAGCAGCUCGAGUUGCCUUGUACAAGAAUAUACUGACUAGCUACUAUAAUGUCCGUGUUAGACAUCUUCGGUUCAGCCCAAGAGACCUUGUCCUGCGAAAGAACUUAGUCAGCCAAUCUGAAUCCUAAGGCAAGUUGUCUUCGAGGUGAGAGGAGCCGUAUCGCAUAAUUGAGGUUAGUCAGAAUGGGUAUUGUAAGUUGACUUACCGAGAUGGUACUUUAGUAUCCAGAACUUGGCAUGCUGAGAAUUUCAAAUUGUAUUAUCCAUAAAUCAUUUACAUUCCACUCAAGAUUACUUGUAGUAUGUCUUUUGUUUAUUUAAUUACUUUUCUAGCAUCACUAUCUCGUGUUGUUAAAGAAAAUAAGGGGACAAGACAAGUAGAAAUGGAAUAAGUGACUGACAAUGAAGUAAAACAAGUCAUUGAUAUUAAAGGAGGUAGUUACAAAAAUUGUGAAGUACAAAAUGCCGAGACCAAAGGCUCUUCUAAGAGCCCCUGCCUCGGCUGAGCCCUCACCCUCCCCCGCACUAGCCUCUUCUUCAGCAACCUUGUCGGGCCCAUCACCCUCAGGUGUCAGCUCGAACUCUGCCAUUUCACAAUUGAGCUCCUCUCGGACCUCAGUUAGGUUUUUCUCCGCCUGGAUGCCCUCAGCCAUGCGAUCGCAAAGCUCUUUAGCAUCAUCAUUGUAGCUGGCCUUGUCUUUGAAGAAGUCCAUCUAUUCUAAGGUGAGAAAGGGGGCUACGUCUUGGAUAGCCGAUGUAUAACCAAACAUGAAACUCAGCAGAGUCAACUCGCCGAACUCAUGAGUGAAGGCCUUGGAAGAGCGAACGGCCUCUACUACCGAGCUGCCAGCCUUCUUAAUGGCCUCCCUUGAAGACUGCUCCUCUUCAAGUCAUCGCUUCUUCUCCUUUUCUAAAGCAGUCUUCAAGGAGUUCAUGGUGGUCUCGGACUGCUCCAUCUCGGCCACCACGGUAUCACGCUGCUUGAGGAAUUGGGCCUUUUUUUCCUCAGCCAACUUCAGUUUCUUCUCCAGGAGGGAGAUCUUAUCCAGGAGCUCGGCUGAGAGCUAAUUUUCGACCAUGUUGAUGUGUCUUUGCAUCAACUCGGAGAGAAAGGCCGAGGUAGAGGCCCACACCACUGAAGUGCUUUGCAUCAGCUCGUCAGCAGUGAGCUUCUUGGCGUAGGAGUGGUCUCUUGGCAAGCUGGAGUGGACCAAAAGAUGGUGGGCCACUCUAGGGUCCUUGCAGCGGUCGUUGAUGCUCACAUCCCACUCUGGACAUCAGUGCUAGUCGGGGUGCUUCUUGUCCAUUCCGACAGGUUGCGACUGCACGUAGUGUCGGUUCUAAAGAGAUGACCUCGUGAUCGGAGUCUCGGUCGUUUGAAAUUGCUUGCCCCGGCCGAAGGUGGAGCAGUCACGGUCACACCUCGGGUGGCCACUCCUUCCGAAAUGGCCGAAACUCGGGAGGUGUUCUCGAGGACUACCGUUAGCGGGGUGCUGGCCGAGGCACUAGGAGUGUCCUUCUUCUUCUUCUGUAUUCUUGAGGUCUCACCAAGAGCCUUUCAUUUUUAUUGCUUCUUGGCCACUACGGCUGUGCCUGAGGUGAUCAGAUCUGACACUCUCACAACUGUAUAAGAAGAAGAUAUUACUACUUAGAAUCAAUGGAAAAAAGAACAAAACAAGACAAUGAAUUGAAAAAUAUAAUAUUUUUCAAGCCGAGUAAAGAAGUAAGGAGGGCGAUCCGGGCUGAUUAAAACUUGACUUAUCCCGCCGUUUACAAGGACCACCUCAGGAUAAUUCUAACUGUUGAUCUUGAGACCCGACCCGAGGAGUUUACAAAAGUUCUCCUCUUUAUGUUGACCCAGGAAAGGAUCUUUAGCCGAAGUAGAUGGCCUUCACCAAAAUCCCCGGGGGAACUUCUCGGCAGGGACGAAGAUGAAAUUGCGCUUCCACUCUUUUAUUGAUGAAUGAGCGUCCACCAUUAAUUUCGAGACGUUCUUGUUUCGGUUCUCGAAAUAGAACCAUCCUUUCUCGUUCCCAUUAUUCUUGAUGGCGUAGUAACGGCGAAAAAGGUUCACUAUGGGAUUCAAGCCUUGCUCUCGGUAGAGCAUCUCGAAUCCGAUGAGUAUCCGAACUACGUUCGGGACCAAUUGGGCGUUCUUGAUGCCCCAGUACCUUAGGCUAUUUCGGAAGAAUCUUGUUGUGGGCAUUCUCAACCCUACUUCCAGUUGGUCAACGUAGAUGGCCACCGUAUCAUCCGGGGGCAUCUCGGCUGUUUUGGUCGCCCGGGGUGGAUAGAUGUUAUAGUGUUGACGGAAGGGCUACUUUCGAAUCACCUCGUUCGCUGCGGUCUGACCAAUGACGCUGCUGAAGAAGGGAGUUGGCCAAAAUCUACGAUCAAGAGAUCUGGAGGGGUGGCUGGCUCCUGCACUCCCUCGUCUUGGGGCAUCUCGGAUCCGAGUUUAUUGUUGUACAACACCUCAGAUCCUUCUUGGCUCUGGUCUUGUGAUGUUUCGUUCCCAACGGAUGCCUCGACUGCUUCUUUCCCCGGGGUCGAUGAAGCAUUUUCUUCUUCUUCAAUCAGGUCGGGCCUUUCCGCUGUAUCAUAGUUCGGCCUGACCAUCUCCUUGUGUGUACGGGCUAUCCGAAUCAUAUUGCAGAAAGUAAAAGGGGUGGUGAACUUACUGUUUAUAGAAGAAAAGGGCUGGGGUGAGCAGUUGAAACACUUCGAGUAUUCUCCCUGACCUCGGAUAUUCAGACGUUCACGCAGGGGAUUGCUGUAAAUUUUUGAGGUAAAAGGUUAAUAGCGAGGAAGGACCCCCUAUUUAUACUGGUAUUGCGGGAGAUGAAAGGUCCGCGUCUGUUGAGUUCCCCCAAGACGCACCCUCUCUUCUCAUUUAUGACCAGCCGUCGUUCUGACUGCCUGUCACGUGUCCUUUCACGCCCUGUCAUAAUGACUGACGGCCGUCUCAUCGCCCCUUGCUUUAUCCCAUUUGCUGAUGAUUGAUGUGUUAUCACCCAGACACGUUGAUGACCUGUUGUACCCUCACGAAAGCCCCAGAAGGCAACAAAUAACCUGUUCCUUCUCGAGGCUAGGGAGGCCUAUUGAGGGUGGUCAUUUCAUCCCAAUUUCGCUGAGUCGAGCUCCCUCUUCCCUGAAUAAAGAUCUGUUAAUCCUCACCUCGGCCUCCUUGUACCGAGGUGAGGAUUACACACCUGAGGUUCAACCACCCGUCCCGAUUACUCCGGCUGUCGCGGUCACUACCCUGAAGUUUCACUGUGCCUGAUGGGACGGGCGAAGUUAGGUCACAGACUGACACCUGCAGGGACAGGAUGUCUGAUAAGACCUGUCCCCGACACCGACCUGUCAAGAUAGACUGACAUGCUCAGUCUGUCAGGUCCUAGGAAGUUGAAUCCUACCAUCAUUUUCUCCCAAUUGUCCCCUAUAAAUACAGAGAUCUCACUCAAAAGGGGACCCGAGAAAAAAAUACACUCUGUAAGAACUACUCUCUAAAGAAAACUUCACUACUUUCCAUUCCAAAAAGAAGACUAACUAGAUCAUCGAAGGAAAAUCGGGGGAUUCAACCCCACCUUUGAUAAUUUGAGCAGGUGACUUCCGCAAGGCAGUACCCACUUCAGGAGAUCACUCCCGCACUUUGGUACAGCCUGUCAACUCCGAAAAUCACCUCUUGAUUGCUCAAGUUGGCAAUUCUUUGACUACAUGACUAACGCUUAUGGUAAAUCCAAGUUUUUGUAGCUUCUUGUCAUGCUUCUCUGUCGAGGCUGGAACAGUGGCUUUGUUAUAUUGUAAUCUGUUAAGAAAAAAACAAAAUAAAAUAGCGUGUGUGCUUUUUAUGAGAAGAGGGUGUGGGGCGGGGGAAUCCUCUUCAGUGGCAAAAUUGUUUCAUUGCCAUCUCUAUUUUUGUUUGAGCCCUCACGUCCUUAGAUUAAGAUAUGGUUUUGAAUCUUGGAACUAGUUCAAAUAACUUCUUACAUAAGUUAUUUAAUGACUCGUAGGGCAAAACUUGUAAACCUUUCUUGUCCUUUCUUUCAUCUAAUGUGGGAUUUUUUUUUGUCGGGAUUUAGGUCUCUCAUUUAUCAACAUAAUAAUCAAAUCAAACGCGGGCAAUAUUUUAAACUCAAUGUGGAGUCAAAUCAAAAUUAAAUAAUAUAACGUUCGACUCUUUUGAACUCAUGUACAACUAUAUUUUUCAAAAUUUUGUACUAUUCAGGGUUUGUUUUAGUUUCUUUAGGAAAAUUAGACAUCCAAUAAAUGAGUGCUUGAAAAAUGAAACCAAAGGACAAAGAAAAUUGCUUACUUUGCACUUGCAUUAUCCAAGUUCGUGUCUCAUGAUAGAGACUUAGCUGUCAAUUAUCAUCCACAAUUACAUGGUUGCUUGUAAUGGAGUUAUUUUUGAUUGAUGGAUCGUUGUCAAUCAUGAUACCUCAGCAGGUAUUGGAUGGGUGCUCCAAGAUCCACUUCAUAAUAUAAUCCAUAAACUAAGCAAGAAGGUCUAUUCUCUCUCUCUUUUUUUUUUUUUGGGCCUGACGUAAUAGAUCUACACUACUCUCUACUAAGAGAAGGGGGAUCUGAAGAAUUUUAAGGACAAUUUGGAGAGGACUGAACCAUCACCAGUCCAAACGGGUGCCUACACACCCACUGACAACAUUUCUAGAAAACCUAGAUUUUUAGAAUAUAGGUCAAGGGAUUUAAUCUCUUGAUUUACAUUCAAGUAAAGUUUUAAAACUCUCUUGAUGGCCGAUUAGCAAGAAGGUCUAUUCGUCAUCUCCAAUUUGCAUCGAAGCUCUAGCUUGUUUGGAUGCUUUAAUAUGGGUUAAACAACUAAAUAAUGCCACUAUUCUGGUCAAGACAGAUUCCCUUCUGCCCCUAAAAUACAUUAUGGAUCCAUGAAUUUCGGAAGUGUAUGUUAGGUCCAUUUCCGAGAUAUAAUUUGUAUGUCUCAAUCGUUUGAUAGAAUUAUAUUUAUCAAGGUUUGCAGGUCAUCUGUCAAUUUAGCCCAUAACUUUACUAUUAAAGCUAGACCUCUGUAAUUAUGUGUAAAUAUUAUUAAAUGCUUUCAUUUUCAAGAAAAAAAAAAGAUGCCAAUUACUUCUCUUUAUUGAAUUUGUCCACUUGUUUCCAUUAAUAAAUAUAUGUUUGGAUAGAGUAUUAUUUAAAAUAAUUACUGUAGCACUUUUGUGAUAAAUGUGAGAUAAAAAGAUGGUCGGGAAUAUAAAACAUGAAUUAAAAAAUAUAUUUAUAAUGCAAGCGAAAUAUUAUUUGCAAUAAUAUGGUAUCAAAACAAACUUCUAGUUCGAAAAUCGGUAGCAUGUUGAAUCAAUCAAAGACAUUUGUAUCUUGUUUAUGAAUUGGAUUGGUAUACUUGGUACUCUAAGGUUAUUAAAUAACAAGUGGGCUUGGUAUUAUUAUUCUUUUCACAAGAAGCUAAUUUCAUCGUGAAAGUGUUGUAACUCAGGACUUGGAUAGUAAUUUUAAAACUUUAAUAGUGCACCUAACUUUCAACUUUUCAUGUGCUUUCAGGGUACCAAAUGGAAAAAAAAAAACCCAUGUAACUUCAAGUCUAAGAUGGUAUGCAAUUCAUUAAGUUAAUAAGUAUUCAUAAUUUCAUAUGUAGAUGUUAAUAUACAUUAAUAUAUAAAAAGUGCAUGAUUGAUCACAAACAUAUUUAUCCUAAUAUUAGAGUCUUUUUUUUUUUUUUUGAGAAUUCAACUUUUCGUGCAAACAUGUAAUCAACAUGCAUAAAUGAGAUAACAUUAGAUGAGUUAAACAAGUAGCCUUCAAAUAUAAAAUUUUGAUUUCAUAAAUGUGCAUUGGCAAUUUAGAAGAGAUACUUUUCAAAUGACAAAUCUAGAGAGCAACAACUACUCCUACUUUAUUUUGAUUUCUAAUCUUCUUUUGACGUAUCAAAAAGGUGAAAACAUGAAAUUAAUAAUGGAUCAGAUAGAGAAGAGUACACUGUGAGUAAAAAUAAAAUGAAUAAUUUAUUUUCAAUUUCUUCGUGUAUAAAUUUUUCCUUAACAUUAAUCGUUGACGUAUCAUUUAUUAUAGACUCUUUCAAGGCACCAAUCAAAAGUUCUAAGUGCUCGAAACAAUAUAAAACCUAACACUGAAUAUGAACAAUAGAACAUGUAAUUACCCAAAUGCAAAAUCAUAUUAUACAUGCACUAUUCACCCACGACGUAAAGCACAAUUUUAAAGUUUAUUCAAAUUUCGAGCUUUGUUUGGUUAGGUGUUUUAGAGAUAUUAUAUUAUAGGUUUUUUUCUUUUGUCUUUUCAAAAAAAAAAUAUACUUGUAAGAUAAAAAAAUAGUUGAAAAACUAGUUUAGAGUUUUAUUAGAAAUUUAUCAGGAGAGCAGUAAUCCCUCAUCAGCCAUCCCCUCAUUCUUCCAUGUAUCUUUUUCAUGAAUUGGGUUGAUCUAUUUGGCGUUCAAAGAUCACAUUUAAAAAGUUUUUUUUUUUUUUUUGCGAAAGUAUUAUAAUUCAGAAUAUGGAUGUAAUUUUAAAACUUUAGUAAUGCACCUACCUUCCAUAUUUUCGUAUGACUAUUGAGUGCUCUUAGAGUAUUAAUGGGAAAAAAAAAACCUUGUAAAUUUUACAUUCGAGCAUAUCCACUUUCUGAAGAGCAGGAAAAAAAAACACCACAUAAUUUCAAUUCCAAAAUUUUAUUUUUUUUUUGAACAAACUUCAAGCCCAAAAUUGUUUUCUUUUUUUGCUAAUUAAAAGUUUGAAUAAAUUCGAUUCCAAUCAUCAUUAAAAAUUAAAAAAUACCCUCUAAACCAUAAGUUACUUACAGAGGUUCUUACAUAUUACAUACUAGCACAAAGUUAAACAAAGAGUAUAACGAUCUUUUCCUUGUAGCUCUUUUCUUCUUUUUCUAUUCUUGAUAGGAUAAUAUACGUAGGAGAGUCUAUUUUGUCUUAUUUCUAUGCUCUUUAUAGCCUUCCUUUGGUCGUAUAUUCCCAGUGCCUCGUGGCUGCAUGGUAAUAUAGGGCUCCUGCUCACUAAGUAUACUUCCAAUUCCAGCUUUCAAGGGACGAGGGCCAAAUCUCUAUUUUGUCUCACCACUAAACAUGUCCAUGAAUCGAGUUUUAUCUAGAUUCAACCCAGAUCCAAUGUACUUAAAUUAGAUUUGAAUUUAAUUCUCAAAUUCGGACCUUAUCCAGACCAAAACCCUAUAAAAGAGUUGUGGGUUUAGAGAGGGUUUGAUUUUCUAUAAUCCAUAUUGAAAUCCAAAUUUAUACAAAACCCUACUCAAACCCAUAUAUAUAUAUAUUAGUAAAUUUAUAAAAUAUUCAAAUAUUCUAUGGUCAUUGGAUCGAACAUAGUAAGACUUCGUGAUUGUUUUCUUUUUUCAAUCUAAUCCUAAUUAUCAUUGUAAUUAGUACAAACUUUUUCAGAAAAAAGUAAAGGCAAAUAAAUAAAAGAUUAGACGUAAAUAUAGUUGAAAUUUUAAAAAUAAAUCAAAGUAGUCAAUAAUAGUUUUUUUUGAGUUUAUAAUAUUGCAUUCAACUUCUUGAAUAUUAAUUUUAUUAUUUGAAAAUAAAAAUUGGAUGGUGUUUAUACUUUUUGAAAUUUACAUAUUUUUAAUAGAUUUUUACUUUAGGGUAUUUAGAAAAAUACAGCGGGUACCCAUUGGGUAUCCCAAAUUCGAGAGUGUCUAGGUUUGAACUUAUUUUUUAAAAAUCAUAAAGAUCUGAGUUUGGGUCCAACCGAAUUUAAUGGAUCUAGAUCAAAGGGACAUACCUACAAAGAUAUACUUAUUUGUCUCACUAUUAUAACCUUUUUUUUAAUAUAAUCCAAUAUUUCAUGAAGUACGUAAUCAAUGACAUAACAUUAGACAAAUUUAGUCCUCCCUGACAAAUCUUUUCAAGAAAAAAAAGACAUAUCUUUUUAUGAGUAAUCUUUGACAAACCUUUCCACGAGUCUUCUUUUCAAAACUUCAAUUACGGCAUACACUUUUGACCAGAGGCGGAGCCGACAAUAAUUAUCAGUAGGGACAAAAAUAAUAUUAAAAAUUCUUCAUUGUCUUUCUUAAAAGUAGUACAUAAUAACAACGGCCCACUUGAUAAAUGAGUUUUUCAUGUGUUUGUUCAAAAUUUUACUGUAACUUAUCGUAGAAUUUGUAAAAUUUUUUUUUGAGAUUGUAUCUAUUUAUUGGAGGUUCUUGUAUAUUCACUUCGAACUUUUUCAUUGGUCUUGGAGCAACUACUAAGCUUCUCAAGUAGUUGUUCCAAAACCAAUAUAAAAUUUUCUUUGAAUGAGCGAUAUAACACAAAAUCACAUAAUAACACAAUAAUUUUCUUUGAAAAAAAUAUAAGAAACAUUUUAAAAUAACCAUAGACCUAUAGUUUUGUAAGGCACAAGGACAUAAUAUUUAUUGUUUUAUUAAAAAAAAUGACGUUCACCAUAGUAGAAGAAAAUUAUGUUUAACUAAGCCAACAUAAUUACUCUAUAUUUUUACUUUUGUUGCAAAAAUUCACAAAAUUCAUUUUACUGAUGUAGAAGGCUAUUGUUUUGAAUUUUGUAAAAUUUCAUUUCCAUUAAGUUACAAAACUAAUGAUAUUUACAUUUACUUCUAAACAACAAAAUGGGAGCACAAUCGAAAAUUUCUCAGAAUUGCAGGAGUCACAAUAGGGGCAUAAUUGAAAAAUUCACAAAAUUACUUGAGUAACAACAGAAUUCUGUGCGGGGCAGUAGGGGCCCGUGCCUACAGUUCCCCCAUUGUCGAUCCACUUCUGCUUUUGACAAUAUGCCCCCUUUCUGAUCCCCUUGCGAAGCUAUGGAUCAAUUAUUCCCAUUUGUGAAUGUCAAUAUCAUGAAAUGGAGCUUGGAAGGAUGUAUUUCUGUAUUAAAAAACUUCUUCAAUCUCCUGUUUCUUUCAAGCCAGAACUAUUAAUGAUUUUGAAGCUAUAAUUGCUCUUGCAUGAUGAUGAGGAAGCUAUGAUUGAGAACACUAGCGGAUUUAAGGUGGGGUCACUGGGGGCACGGCCCCACUGCUUCCCUUAAAUUCCUACAAUAUGCAUAGAAUUUUGAUAUUAUUUUAAGUGUGCCUUCAAAGUUUUUUUUAUGAAAUAAGUGAAAUAAUUACGUGAUCUUUUAAAUUGAUCCAUGAACUAAUAUUCUAAAAGGAUAUGUGGGUCACAAAAUUUCAUUUGAAAUAAGUUCAAAAAAUCUUUUUCAUUUUAACUUGUUGGUGAAUAUUUUUUUACUUAAAAAACUAACAAAAUAGUAGGAAAAAAAUUUUAAUGCUGCUUUUGCCCCCACUGAAAAUUUUUUCAAGCUCCGCCACUGAUUGAGAAUAUCUGACUGUCCAUGAUAGAAGCAAAUAUUGUUGAUGUAAAAUACAUUACUAAAUGUGCCAAUAAUGUAGCACAUGAAUUAGGUUUUCAUACUAACACUUCUAACAUUAUGGAAUUCCUAUGAAAUUCUCCACCUAACUUUGUUAAAAAAUUCAUGCUGGACCAAUUCCAACGAUUUAGUUAAUAAUAUUUUCUCUUUUUAUCAAAAAAAAAAAAAAAAAAAGCUCAUAGGCAUCAAUUGCUUUUUCAAUACAGCUUGCUUUUACAGUCCUACGACCACAAUCUUUUGUCAGAGGAAAUAAGGCUGAAAAAAUAUAUAUAUAAUUUUUUGCAUCAUCAUUGUGAUACAAUGAAGUACAGAAACUGCUUAUGAGAAAAUUUAAGAUAUUUUUACACUCAACUUUUUUUUUUUUGUUUCUUUCUCCUUUGUAUACAGGUUAAGUAUAUGGGAUAAAAAAGAUAAGUAUGUACCACAUAAUUACUAGCUGCUCUCAUUGAAACCUGUUGCUGCGUGAAUACUUCACAAGAUUAUGUCAAAUUAUCACUUCAAAAUAAAAAUAAAAGGAAUUCAAAAGAAAAAUUACUAACAAUUAAGAGCUAAUUCCUCAAAAUAUUUCCCCAAAAAAAUCCAGCUAAUGUGGUUCUGAUAGAGUCCAUUUCAAAAACUAUGGUUUUUUUUUUUAUUCUUGGUAGCCGCUUUUAAAGGAAAAAAAAAUUCAAGGGCUGCCAUCUCUUUUUAAAGGCAACAAUGUUUUUUUUUUUUUAAUUCCUGGCGGCCACUUUGAAAUAAAAAAAAAAUUGAAGGGAUGCUGUAUUGAAUCAGCAUGACAGCCCUCUUCUUUUUUUUUUCUUUUGAAAAAGAUGCUGAGCCUGCAUGUUAUCUUACAAAUAGGCAGUUGCUUUAUUUUUUGUGUUUCACGGCAGCCCGGUGACUUCUACAAUUGUUUAUGUUUCACACAAAACAUAUUGAAUACUUGAUGGGGUAUUAUUCAUAGAACCUAAAAAAUCCUGUGAAUGAUACUCCAUCAAAUAUUCAAUGUUUUGUGUGAAAGAUAAACAAAUAUAGAAGUCAAUGGGCUGCCGUGAAACACAAAAAACAAAGCAACUGGCUAUUUGUAAGACAACAUGCAGGCUCAGGCAUCCUUUUUAAAAAAAAACAUGGCAGCCCUUGAAUUUUUAUUUUAAAAAAAAAUUGGCUGCUAGGAUUUUUAAAAAAAGAAAAUUGUUUCCUGCCAUGCUAACACAGCGAAUUUUUAUUUAAAAAAAAAAGUGGCUGCCAGGAAUAUUUUUUUUAAAAAAAAAAAUCUCAUGGCUGGCAUAAUUUUGGAAAUGGACUCUAUCAAAGUCACAUUUGCCAGUUUUUUUUUUUUUUUGGGCAAUAUUCUGAGAAAUUAGCCACAAUUAGCGGUAUAUUCUUUCUCUUUUUUUUGACUACUUUUAUAAGAACAAAAUGUAUAACAGGAAAGUCUCAAUAGACUCCCUUAUUUGACAAGUGACAAAUAGGACUCAAGUACUACGAACACUAAAUUUUAGGGGGUUUAAUAUAAUUACAUUUUAGAAUUGAUUAAACAUGAGAAAAACUGGAAUGUGCUCUUUGUCUGUCACAUUAGUGGCCGUUUUGGAGAUGUAAUGAUUUAUUAAAAAAUAUUUCACCCAUUAGAGCUUUUGAUGAUAACACUUGAAAGUGUGUUAUUUCGACGCAUACAUUGAUGAGUGAUUGUUAUGUAUGGAUUGUUAACCCACGGAUUUUAUCAAAAUUUUAAAGAUUAUUCGAUUUUUAGGCUAUGUUUGGUUAGGUGUUUUCCAAGGUGAUUUAGGGGUAAAUUGACUAUAAAGAUGCGACGAAAAUAUACUUUGAACCUAAAGUUCAAGUUGUGAUUAGUAAGUUAAUUUCCUAUUUUCUAUUCUUUUUAUGAUGCUAUAUUCAGGUUAGAAAAUCUUUGAUUAAAUGACUGAAGCUUGUGGUGAAUCGAGUUUUUGCAACUUCUUGUCAUGCUUCUUUAUCGAGGUUGGAACAUUAGCUUAGUUAUGUUGUAAUGUGUUAAAGAAAAAUAAUUACAGGUGCCCCUGUGGUGGUAGCAUGCAGGGCAGGAAAGUUAUAUGACAACGGCGUUGAGAUUGGAGUUGCUCACUCUAUCUUUGCAUCCUCCCUCGCACUUGUAGAUGGAAGUAAGGAUAUUUAGCCUGAAGUUUUGAGUUUUAGAACUGAUCCAAAUGACUUUUAAGUGAAAUCACAGAUUCAAAUUGAUUUAUUUUUUAUUAUAUAUAUUCCGAGAAUGGAAAAAUUUUACAAGUAUACGAGAAAUGAAAACCAAAAUAAAAAUGGAAAAUGCUUACCUUUGUGCUUUUACCUCAUCCAAGUCAGAGUCGAAUGUUGCAUCCCUCUAUAAGUGGCAAAUAAAUUUAUUUAACUAAAUUUAUCCAUACCCGUCCAUGAAUAGAUGAAUAUAAAUAUCUUAAAUUUUUGCAUAUGGGUAUAAAUGGUUAUCCAAUAAUGCUCAUUUAUUAAAUGAGCAUUAUUGGAUAAUCUAUCAAACUCAAUUAACCCAUUUAAAAUUAUCUUCAUCCAAGCCUCCUCUCUUCCCCCACUCAUUUUUUUUUCAGAUUCUUUAUUUUGUCAUGAUGUUAACUACUUUUGAUUCAUUAUUAUUAUUAUUAUUUGUUGGUUUUAGCUUAUCAUUUUAUUUUCCCUUAAUUUGUUAACUUGUUCAUUUUUCAGCAUUAUUAAUUUAUAACAAGUUUUAGUCUCUUUUCCUACUUUCUCAAAAUGAAAUUUUAAAUUUACAUAUGAAAAAAAUGCUAGGGGUUCAAAAUUUUUGGAUUAAGUUUUUAUGUUAACUUUUAUAGUACUUAAUUCAAAAUUUUAUAUUCUUGUUGUUUAAUUAUUAAAUAAUAUGUAAUUUUGCGACAUAAAGUAUUGAUAGGAAAAAAAUUGGUAAUUAGAUUUAUGAGCAUUAUAAGUAAAUAUUUAAAAUUAAUGAUGGAUGCAAAUUAUGGUAUAAAUUGAUAAUUUAGUUUGUAAAAAUGAAUUUAAAUGAGUUCACAAAAAAUUAAAAUAAAUGGGUUAUAGAUAGGUAAUUAGGUUAUUCAAUUCAUUUUUUAACUUACUCAUUAGAUGAAUAUAAAUGAGUUGACUCACCUAUUCCCAUUAUCCAUUUUAACUGAUUCAAACCCGUCCAAAUCACUGAUUUUGGACACAUCUACAUCCCUCCAAAGUCUACCUCAGACUUUAAGGUUCCCAUUUUGUCCUGCCUUGGGAAGCGGGAUGGAAGAAGGACAUGUGUGAGUGUGAUAGUCAUAGAUGGAUGCAUGGCACACGCUCGUUAAUUCGGAGAGGGAAGGCCGACGCGCAUGUACAUGGAAGCAAAAUGCUACGCGUCGGGUUAGAAGGAAACAUGAAUAAAAAAGAAAAUGUGUUAAGUGAGGGACCAGAGGGGCAAAUACCAACGAAUACCGUAUGUGAUCGGUUAGAUAUAUGUAUAUAAAGGGAUAAUUGCAUAUUCCCACCCUGAGGUAUGUACCAUUAAAAAUAAAGACUAAAGCCAGAGAGCGUCGAUGUAAGUCUCGCAAAUUGUAACAUUAGCAUGAGCGUAUUAGAAUUUAGUAACAUCAGCAACCAUCCAUAAAACUGCAGAAAAUGCAAAAAUCAAUAAAGUGGAGAGAAAAUUUUUUUUAAUUUGGAAUCGAUAUUUACAUGUAAAGUUGUUAUAGUGUUGGUAAUGGAAUUUCAAAAACUUUGAACAGGAAUUGGACAAGAGGUGAAAAAAAACACAUAUACACAAUACAUUCCCAAGGUGAAAAAAAAAAUAAAAUACACUGCAAAAGUUAAUACGUUUGGAAUCGUUUUGUUCACUCAUGGAGUCCAUCCUUUUACAUGAUUAACAAGAGAUGUUCAUCUUUGUAAAGAAAAAGUAACAAUUUUGAGGUGAUGUUGUAAUUAAAUUUUAAAGAAAAAACAAGUAAAGCAAAGUAGAGAAAAUCUUUCUAACCAUCUUGUUCAGAUUACGUAUACAAAAAAAAAAAAAAAAAGAAAAAAAAAACACUAAACAUCAUUGAAAAGAGCGAAAAUAAUAGAUUAUUUGCAAUUACAUUUUAUCUACCUAAUGAAAUCUAACUGUAUUAAGUCCCUCACAAGUACAUUAACUUACUAAGACCAUGUAAAAGAUUUGAUUGUUCUAUAUUAAUAGUAAAACUUAUAUUAAUUUGAUCGUGCUGAGUGUGCAAUAAUAGUUGGACUCACAGAAAAGACCAAAAAUAAAAUACGAAAUUGAAACAUCCGCUCACAUGAAUGAUUUGGUAAAACAUCAUACUUGCAAAUAUAGGUAAACAUAACGCCUUCUUCAGAGGACUAAGAGUGGAGUGACGAAAAAAAGGGUAUGAUACUCCUCUACAUUUUGGUGAUCAAAAUGUAUAAUACCAAAAUGUAUAAUACCAAAAUGUAUAAUGAACAGUAUAAACUAGAAUAGUAACAAAUAAAAAUGGUUGCGAAAGUGUAAAAAAUUAAAUCCUUCUUCAAUAUAUUGCCAUAUUCCCCUCCAUUUAUUUCUUUUCUUAUGCGUCCCACAUUCGCUUUGCCAGGCGCGUUUUGAGUGCUUGCUCGGCCAAUUCAUUUCGGACCACAAACAAGUGGCACUUUGGAUCGCGUAAGACGUGUCCAUUUAUUGCUUCGUUCCUCCCAUAAAGCCAUAAAGGGGUCCCGUCAUUUUUUUUUGUCUACUUUUUUUUUCUUUUUUUUUUUUUACACACGAGAUAUCCGGACCUUCGAUCCAACUAAUCUCAUUUGUCUAUAUGUAUAUAUAUUUUUUGUCUACUUGUUUCUAUUUUUUUUUCUUCCAACUUCUAGGGAAAUCCCAAGAAUUCGCUAACUAAACUGAGCCCAAGAGCAAUCGUAAAAAACCGGCAACUUUUGACGACGCCCCAGGAGCUUAACUACCCAACCCUUAACACCCCCACAGCCGAUGUGGGAUAGAAACCCCAACAGGGGCCAAGCCUGCGCUGGAAACUGCUACCAGGCCUUAACUAAGAACCCAUCCCCAACCGCCGACCCCUUGCUGUUGUUUUUUUUCUUCCAACUUCUAGGGAAAUCCCAAGAAUUCGCUAACUAAACUGAGCCCAAGAGCAAUCGUCAAAAGCCGGCAACUUUUGACGACGCCCCAGGAGCUUAACUACCCAACCCUUAACACCCCCAACCGAUGUGGGAUAGAAACCCCAACAAGGGUCAUCUACUUGUUUCUAUUGAUAACAUCUUUUGACCGAUAUGCAGCACAAAAAGUAACUCGCCCAUGAGUACAAAAUAGGCGUUACAAAAAAAUCGUUCCUACCAAACUCGUGGAGUUAUUUGCCUAAAUAACUCACUUCACAACAAAUAUAUUCCUAAAAUGAUUCAAUUUCAUACUUUAUUCUCGUAAGAGACUUUUCUCUCAUAACAGAGUUUUCUGUUAUCCGUCCGAUCAAAUUAAAACGAAAAUGAAAAAUAUCUUCCCAUUUCUAGCUAUACCUUUGUUUGUUACUUUAUUAUACAAAAAGUCUUGAAUACUUAACAUGAAUUUAACAAUAUUUUUAAAUAUGAGAGCAAAAGUCUCGAAUACUUAACAUAAAUUUGACGAGAUUUCUAAACAUGAGAGCAAAAUCUACAAUUUGACUAUUUAUUUUUGUUUCAGUUACGACAAUUUUCUCUUUAAGAUACUUGUAAUAAAAUUUGAAAUCGAAUCAUUGUAGGAAUAUUUUUUGAAAAAAAAUGUUAUUUUGGUAGAAGACUCUGAGUGUGUUUGACAGUAUUUUAUUUGGAAAAUUUUUUAAAAAAAAUUAUGAAAUUUUUUUAAUAUAAUAAAUAUAAAAAAAUAUAUUAAUGAUACAAAUAAAUUUUGAUAAAUAAUCCACCAUCCAAACACACUCAACAGGCAAUGCCAGAAACAAAGGUUCGCGACUCAAUGUGUUAACCACCCAAAACCUUCUAGGCAGUGCCAUAAAGAAUGGUCAUUGCUCUACGUGUUAACCACCUAGAAGCUUCUAGGCAGUGCCAGAAAGAAAGAUCCACAACUCUACGUGUCAACCGCUUAAAACCCUGGAAGAACGGUAAAGAUGCUUUUAAUAAAAUUAAAGUUUAAAAAUUAAUAUCUGAACUCUGAAUCCGUCAAAUUAUUAAAUCUUAUAUAUCAUACAUUUGAAUGUAUGUCACGUUAUAUUAAGUGACAAGUAAAUAGUUUAUUAUUUAUUUAUUAAAAUAAAUUUUAUUUAAAAAAUUUAAUAUUAUUUAAUUAAUUUAUAUAUUUUAUUUUUUAUUAUCAAACGCGUCUGAAUAUAUUAAAAUAUGAAUCUAUAUAAUUACAAAGUUAAUUGUGAUAUUAGGGACAAAUAUAAAUAAUUAAGGUGUGCUGUGCUGUGCUGUGUGACAAAGUCCCGUGAGUCUGGUCCAUCAAUUAAAUUACUUGAUCCAUCCAAUUGAGAUGAAUUUUUUUUUUUUUUUGUCGGAACAAUAAGUCCAAUCGAGAUCAGCUUGAGUGUGAAUUACUAUUCCUUGUUUUAUUUGUCCACUUGUUUCAAUUGACAACUCUUUAAGAUACCAAAAAAUCAACUGAAAUCAGUGGGAUCUCCGCAAUUAAUUGCGGAAUAUAAUCCUGUUUUUAUAUAUUCUUUGUACGUCUAAUUAGUUUCGUCUCAGGAAAGGAAAAAUAUACGCACAAAACACAAGUCUAGCUCAGAAUUUAGCGGUGACCGAUUCUACCUUCCUUUUUGGUAUCAUACCUUGAUCCUGAAUUCACGGUUGAAUGGUCAAAUAUUACUAUUUUUGACAUUUAGAUGGUUACAGUUUCAAUCGUUUAAAUUAUGGGUUACUAUCAUCGUUGAAAGAUACGCAUUGAGGGAACGGUAUCCUAAGAAGACUAUAGAAUUUUCCUAAUGGAUUAUACAACAUAUUAAUAUUUGGAAAAAAAAAAAUACUUCUCACACAGUUGUGUUUGAUCUCAACGAAUCUUCACUAUUUUAAAUUGGUGUGGAUCACAAUCAAUGUCAUGACUUUACAUGAAUAUCAAAUAAGGGUGCACGAAUAUUAUAAUAUGAAAAGUACAUGAUAUGAAAAAAAAAAUAAUUGUGUUUGGUUAGAAAAUUAUUUGAAAUAAUUAUUGUAACAUUUUUUAUGAUUUGAGAUAUAUAAGAUAAAAAAAAUUUAAAAAUAUAUUUAUGAUGUAAUUAAAUAAAUUUUUUUUGACAAAUAAUGCCCAUCCAACCGCACUUGUAUGUACUCCUUUUCAAUUUCUUUAUGUAGAAUAUUUUUUUUGAUUAAUCGUCAAUUAUAUCUAUAUAAUACUUUAUUCUAAUUUAAUUAAGAGAGGAUCAACUGGACCUACAAAAAGUUGAUGGGAACAGAAUCACCAUCAGAUCGGACAGGUGCAUCAAGCAUCCAUUUGAAUUUUUUUGAAGAAAUAAUUAAUGUGGCAAUUAGUGGAUGGUAAAAUUUGCUACUUUAAUAGAAUAUUUUCUUGAAUAUUGAUUUUUGACAUGUCUUUUGUCAAGGCCAUAAAUCAACCCGGGCCUACUCCACAGUUCACACCGAUUCCCGCCGACGAUGGAUAUCUUAUCCACAAAAGCAUGUUCCUACCGCACUAUUAUAUAUUAUUCCGUCAUCCCCACCUCCUUCCUCCUCACUCCUCCCUCGCAAAACAGUAAACUCUGAUCCAUUCCACUCUUUCCUCUGUGCUUUUUUGUCUGAAAAUGGCAGCACCAGUGACAGUGCCAAGAAUCAAGCUGGGCUCGCAAGGUCUUGAAGUUUCAGCUCAAGGGCUGGGCUGCAUGGGCAUGUCAGCCUUCUACGGGCCACCAAAGCCCGAGCCCGACAUGAUCAAACUUAUUCACCAUGCUAUUAGCAGAGGCAUCACCCUGCUUGAUACCUCUGAUGCUUAUGGACCCCAUACCAACGAAAUCCUCAUCGGCAAGGUGACUUUAAUCAUAUUUAUUUGCAUUUUUCUGCAGUUGUGCGGUAUGCAUGAGCUCUUGUACUUUUAGUUUUGACUUUGUUCUUGGUUGCUUUAGAUUUUGCAAAAUUUGAUUAUGGGAAGUGUUUAUAAAAAAUAAUUAGAAUCAGCAAAAAUUGUGCUUUGGCCAAUUAUGAAUUUCAGAUUUUUUGGUUAUUAAAAAAAUUGUAAUCUGAAGCGUCAUAAAAAUUGAUUAUUCAAAAUUAGAAUAUAUAAUCAAUUAAAAUAACAAACCUGUAGUUAGUGAAUGCGUAGGAACUCUCACUAUCUGGGAAGUCUUUCUGAAAACUACCAGUAUUAGAUAAUUUACUUUCCAAACAGGGCAAUAGGAAAACUGUACUCCUCUAGUCUCCUAUUCUUUCUUUUUCACUUGGAUGUUUUCAUUUGGAUCCUAAUAGGGCACUAUUUACUGCACCUUAAUAAUUUGAUUUGAGUUUCCUUUUUUUUUUUUUCUUUUUUAUUCAGGUUCAUGUGUACGACUCUCUGUCUAUGUUCAUGUUUUGCAUCAAAUCUUAUCAAUGGUAAAGAUAGACUGAAAGAAACAGAAAGAAGAACAGAAAAAAGAAAAGGGAUUGGCUCCUUUAACUGAAUCAAACUUCUAAAGUCCAUGGUUUACAUAAUCUUCAUUCUGCAUGCUACCAUAUUCAAUGGGAAGAAGUAGAAUAGUCUUAAAAAUGAAAAGGAUGGAAAAUCUCUGACAGUUUGUGCCAUGCAUGGAUCACAAAUCAACUUGCUAUAACAUGCAAUAAUAUGUAUGUCCUCGGUGAUUGAUGUUAUGAAAGCAUGGUUGUAGGCCUUGAAGGGAGGAAACAGAGAGAAAGUGGAGCUAGCAACAAAAUUUGCAUUCACUUAUGAGGGUGGGCAGUUUGGUAUACGUGGUGAUCCAGACUAUGUGAGAGCUGCAUGUGAAGGCAGCUUGAAGCGGCUUGGUUUGGAUUGCAUUGAUCUCUAUUAUCAGCAUCGCAUUGAUACAAAUGUGCCCAUUGAAGUCACGGUUUGCUCUAUUUUUCCUUUCUUGUUUUUAAGUUCCACAUUCUUAAUUAAAUAAAAGUUUGAUCAACUUCAAAUAUAGGCAUACAACUGAGUUUCGUGUCCUUUGCAAUUGCUUCAAAAAUACAAAAAUAAAAAAAAAAUUCUUAAAAAAUGCAAUUGGUGUACUAUGCAUGUUAGUCUGCAUUAAUGUAAAGCUCAUUUAGCACCAGCAUCUCAAAAUUAAAAAGAACCAUAGUGUUAGUCUUGUAGGCACAAAAAUUGUAGCUUGACGGCCCUGCUGAGGGAGUUACCAAUGGAUAUGACAUGCUAUAGAUUCUAUGGCUUUCCUUUAGGACGAGAAGGCCUGUGUAUUCUCUUUCAUUUGAAAUAUGUAAUCUGGUUGAGUAUUCAUAUGCUAAUUUAUCCACCUUGUCAGUUCUCAGUUGCCACUUCUUUUAAUUCAGUGCAUAAAGCAGCAGAUUGGUACUCAGUUUUUAUCAAAUUGAAGUUUUUAUGGAACGAUUUAUGUAAGUUCUUUUCCUGGUGUAGCCAGCAAAAUAUAUUUUGCUUUUCCUGAGUAGUAGGAAGAAAUUUUCAUAUCGUACAAUCACUCAAAAUACAGGUAAGUUUGAAUGAGAUCAAGCAAAAUUGAUGACUGACAAUUGAUGUGUGCAGCCAUUAGUCUGUUUAAAAGAAGUCAAGAAAGUUGUAUAAUGUUGUAUAAUGUGGUAUAAUGAUAUCAGAGCUAAGUCAACCUGUGAGUUAACAUCAUCAUCAUCUAGAGAAGUAUAUUGGCUGCUUGUUGCCAUUUUUGUCAAGUAGUGCUUUCAGUUUGAUGUAUACUUUGUCAAAGUUGUGCCACUGCACUGAACUAGUUCUUCUUUUCGUUUAUGCAUGUAUAAUUUCAAUUAUCUACCUUAGUAUGGAAAAAAUCAGCUGGGAAAUUUCUCGUCCAUUACAAAAAUUCUAUUUUGCCCAGGUAGGAGAACUUAAGAAAUUGGUUGAAGAGGGUAAAAUAAAGUAUAUAGGUCUAUCCGAGGCCUCAGCUUCAACAAUUAGAAGAGCACAUGCUGUUCAUCCAAUAACAGCUGUACAGUUGGAGUGGUCAUUGUGGACCAGAGAUAUCGAGGAAGAGAUUAUUCCCACUUGCAGGUAGUGCAUUUAUCCUGCUUCAUUUUCUACAUGGUCUGGAAGAAAUAUGAAGUUCUAAGUUCAUUUUGGUGUAAUCUUGUAGAGAGCUUGGAAUAGGGAUUGUUGCAUACAGUCCACUUGGAAGAGGAUUCUUCUCUUCAGGUCCAAAGCUGGUUGAGAAUUUGACUGAUGAUGACUACCGAAAGGUUUGUGAAUAUCCAAAAAGAUUAGUAGUUUCUAGUGUAGCAUAGUCAGUAGCAAUCUUGCUCAAUAUCCCUUUGAUGUCCAAUAAUUUGGUGGAGCUUUUCUGAAACUAUCUAAUUUAAUUAACUUCUGUCCAACAAAGCGGCACAACAAGCUUUUUUCUAUCCACCAAGUCUUCUAGCGUUGGAUUCCAAUAAAUGCAGUUUUUGGCAUUGUUAGAAACUGAACCUUUUGUACAGACAGGAUUGAAAGUGUGUGCUCUGUAUUUAGUUUGAAUUUGAAGAUAGCAAUAGCAUUGUCAAAUAUCACAAGCAGUGGGAGUGUUCUAUUUUAUGGUGGAAGAACAUCCUAGACAUGAGAAAAGGAAGAAACUAUGGCAUUUUUUAGUAAUAUUCUCUUCACAAUUUUGAGGGGAAAUGGACUUACAUUGCAAUGGCAUCAUCUGGUGUUAGGCACAAAAGUUAUACAUUGUCCUCUGAAAUUGUUUUUUUUCCCUUUUCAUAUACAUCCUCUACAGUUUGGUUGGUCACAAGUUCACUUGAUAAUACUGUCCAGAUGGUAUGAAACUGUAUUGGAUUUCUAUUUCGAGUUUCCUCUCUGAUGGGAUAUGUUUCUCAGGAUCUACCUUCUACAAUUGAUGUUUCUUAGCGUACUCAGUCCACCUUACUGGAUUGUUCUUUCCCCUGAACUUUGUACGCCUCAAGCAAUAGUAUCGAUCAUCUUGAAGUUAUUCGUAAUGUUUUCAUUUGUAGACAACACGUGUUGCUCCCUUUUGAAUUUCUGGCAUUACAGUUGCUUAAAUUUCGAAAUUCGUACAAUGCAGUAUAUGCCAAGGUUUCAAGCAGAGAAUUUGGAGCACAACAAGAACUUGUACGAGCAGGUCAAUGCCAUUGCUUCAAGGAAGGGUUGUACCCCAUCACAGCUAGCUUUGGCCUGGGUCCAUCACCAAGGCAAAGAUGUUUGCCCCAUACCUGGCACUACCAAGAUUGAGAACCUCGAUCAGAAUAUAGGAGCUUUGUCUGUGAAACUGUCGGCAGAGGAAAUGGCGGAACUUGAAUCUAUUGCUUCGGCUAUCAAGGGUGAGAGAUACGAGUCUGACGCUGGCACUUGGAAAACUUCUGAAACUCCACCUUUGUCAACCUGGAAGAGGACAUGAAGGCGUACCUUUGUGAUGGCAAUAAUCCCUUCUAGCUGUGUGCCUGUUGGUGGAUUUCACUAUAUUGGGAGUUGAGUAGCAUGUAUUUGUUCCAAGAAAUUUCGUCAUAUUAUUGUCUCGGGGGUUAAGGCAUGUAAAGUUAUAAUAAGAAGAAUGGAGUUUUAAGAGUGAUUGUAAUGAAUGAAGAUUUGGUCAUGUAAAAGCAUAUAGUAAUUUUCCUUGCAGUAUGCAUUAAAAAUUAUCUAUUGUACUUCUGAAUAUUAUAGUUUGGAAAAAAAAAAGGAAUACUUGUUAUCAUUUGGGGGAAAAAAAAUAGUGUAGCUGUCACGCCUCAUUGCUCUGUUAUAUUUCUCGCACGUGCUAGUAACGAGACAUCUGUUAUAUUUCUCAAGGACAAGACAAUAUUAAACUAGAAAUACUUACUUAAAAAGUAAUAGCAUUAAUGGAACUAAUUAUAGUGCGGUAUAACUUUGUAUUCGAAAUAACCUAUAAAUAUUUGAGGAUUUCAUAUGCUAAACAUCAAGUAGAGAUAACAUGUGCGAGUAUCAACUAUUAUAGUAUAGCGAAGUACAACUAUACUACUAAUUCCUAUCUCCUAAAGAUUUAGUAGAAAUCAUUUUUUGGGUUUUGGACAUAGACUAACUCAUAAUAUCCAAAAUCUACAAAAGUAAUAAAAAUGGGUUGAGCGAUGAUUGCUCGGUAGGUAGCAGCUACUGUGAUGUCUCGCAAAAAUUUAUUAUUUUUAAAAUCCAUUCCGAGCAUAUUUAAAUAUUUAAUUGUCCAUUUACUCUGAUUAUUAUUUUCUAACCUCUUUAAAUCUAAUUACAUGGAUUUAUAGUUUCGUUAUAUUUUUUUUAAAGUGUCUCGUUUCAAAAUUUAAUUUUUGGAAGCUCAUUAAGUGAAUAUGGUGAAUACGCGAUUAGGGAUUUUAGCUGAUUUGGAAAUACCAUAAGUUGGGAAAAUUGGAGACUUGUACAAUGGUCCUAAAAUAAGUAUUUCUAUGUUUAAAUAUUCAAGUGAUAGUUAUUAGUACUAUCGUUAUAAGAAUUUCUUGGAAGUUUCGUUUUAUCGCGCUUAAGUUGGAGAUACGCGUUUUUACACGCGCGAUUUAAUUGGGGGACUUUAGACCCUUAUUCUGGGACAAUUAAGAGUAAAUAAUAUUAAUAUGAUUAUAAGUAUAUUGGAGGUUUAGGGCACUAGUGAAAUGAACGCGAGAGAAAUCGAGCACAAAACGCACGCGUACGCGCACUAUUGAAGAGUUGACUUUUGCACCAAUUCUAGCCACACAAAUAAAGCUUUCUUAGGAAGCUAAAUCAGAUCAAAACACUCUCUCUCUUCCUCACAAAGUGGCCGGCCAUCAGCUGCAAAAAUAACCCAAGGAGUUCAUCAUUUUUCAUCUCAAAAUCUUGCACAAAUCAUCUCCAAUUCCUUCCAAAUUUCACACACACUUAGCUUAAUACUUGGAGAUCAUAUUAAGCUGCAAAAAGGGGGAGCUUUUCACGGUUUUCUUGAGCUAAGAGAGGGCCAAAAUUCUGCCUUGUUUACCAACACAAGUAAGUGACGAUCAAUUCUCAAAUUCUUGGUCUAUGGAAGUUGAUUUACACUUAUGAGCUUAGAUAUUCAUGUGGGUGGCUUGUUAUUGUUGGAAAAUUUUGAAUGUGGGCUCUAUGAACUCCCACUCUUGGGUUGAUGGCUGAUAUGAUGCUUGAUGAUGGAUUUAAUGUUGGUUUAGUGCUCAAAUUGGUAGAUUAAUGGUGCAUAGCUAGUAUAAACUUCAAGGAGUGCAUGGAUGUAAAGCUUCCAAUUCUGCCCCUGUUAUGAUUGUGCCUCUUUUUGCAGAAUUUUGAGGUUUUAAUGGUUUGUAUAUGAUGUUUAUCUGUUGUAUAGAUGUUGUAUAAAGUUUCAUCGAAAAAUAUUGAGGUUUGGUUGGUCAAAUGGAUUAAUCUCGCACAGCUAGCAAACCUGGAAAAAUUUUCCCGUAAUGCUCAGACAGCUUUCUUGUUUCGUCCAUAACUCUGUGCUUCGAUGUCAAAAUCAAGUGCCGUCAGUGGCAUUUGAAACUAGACAUUCCCAGAUUUCCAAUGGUAUAAAAUAUAACUCCUAAUUCCACCCGAGUAUUCCGUACCAACCGUUUAAAGAUGACUGUCAUGUUUCUCUAUUUUCCUGGAACGAAGUUCAGAAGCUACAACUUGAGGCUUGAAUUUGAGCUAGUUGUGUGCUGAAUUUCAGAACGAUUUCUUCUGUGAAAUUAUAGUUUCAUGAAUGCAUUUUCCAACGCCACCACCCAUGCUCAAUUCCGAGUUGAAUUGAGUGAUUUGUGAUCAAAAUACGAAACCUGCCUUGUUCUUGAAAACCCUAAAUUUUGGGCAGAAUUGAUGCUAGACUUGGUGUAGACUUGCCAAUUGAAUUUCUUGGAAUUGAAACACUUACCAAAUGUACCAUGAAUGUUCCUUAGGUUUUUCCCACACAAAUGAACCAUGUUUGAAGGAUUUUCCUUGGUCAAAUGUUUUGGAAUGGAAAACAAAAAAAAAAGCUCAAGGCAGUUUUGCCUUAGGAUUUUUCGAAACUUUGGAUGUUUGGUUGACUACUUUCCCGAAGGUAUUUUUCCAUGAAAUUUGAUAGAGGGAUACCCUUUAUAUAGGAGUAUUAUAUUGCCAAACUUGGUGUUAAUCCGAGUCCAUUUCACUGCUCGACUAAAUUACCAAGAUUCAUGACUCGAGUUUGGAAAACCCUUGUUUCACAAGGGAAUUUUGGUAACUUUGAAUUGCCAUAUCUUAGUGCUCAAAACUCCGUUUCUCGUUCCGCUUAUUUUGUUGUAAACUUAGAUUGCGACUCUAAUAGAGUUCCUAAUUUCAAAGGCUAGUUCCAAUUAAGUGAAUUUUGCCGAAUUUUCAAAGUUGGCCAAAAACCAACUUAAAUCUGCCUUAUGAAACAAAACAGCGACUUUGAGCUUAUUUUUGAAUAUUUUUCAUUUGGAAUCUUAGAAAAAUGUAUUUUAGGAACUUUUAGUACCUUGGAAGAGGUUUCCAACGGUACCAAGUUUUCCAAUUUUUGACUUGUAAAGCGUGAGAUACGAUUUUUCUAAUGUAUCGUAUCAAAACUGAAAUUUUCCGAAUUCCAAGGAAAUGGAGUUUUUUCAAGUACUCCUUAUUCCUUCGAUAUUACUUGAACAUUUUAUACUUGAUUUCCAAGAUGAAAACUAAAUUUCUCCUGUACUUUGAAACCCCACUUGAGAGCCUUGAUUUAGAAUAAUUUGGGCUCGUUUCACGAGACUUUCUAAGAUUGUACUGUGGUAUGAUCUUCUUUAAUAGUAGGGGGUUUGUGAAUGAUAGUCUAUUAUUAUUUGCUCAGGCGCACACGAGAACCUUCAAGAGGAUCCCACAGUGAACGCCUAAAGCUCUGAGGGACAUUUCUUCCUCAUUACUUAUAUUGAUGAGUGUCAAGUGUAUGAAUACUUGAUACAUGCUUAAUUGUUAUGAUUGUUUGGAGAUUUUGAAAAUAGAGGCGAGUGUGUAUUUUACCGCACUCAUUCUUAUUUGAAAUAAAUGACUCAUGAUUCAAAUGUACUAAAUGAAUUAUGAAUGGCUUAAUUGAAUGAAAUGAGAUGAUUGAAUGAUUGAAUGAAAUGAAAUGGUAUGCUAUGGCUGCAUACGUCGUUGGAGUGAAUCUCCUUGACUCUCAAAUAAAAAUGGGGGACGCCCAAACUCAUAGGCCGAACUUGGACUCGAGCCGGCAUGGGAUUGGUCGGGAACCUUGGCAAGCCAUGAGAUAAAUAAGCUCGACCUAAUGAGAGGUCUUGCUUGGCAUACUCGUGGAGUAUCGCCUUAUAAAUGUCUUGCGGGCCCGGGAGGUGCACGGUGGACGGAGGGAAGUAAGUGGUGAUCUACGGAAUGGAAAUACCGACCCGGUUGACGGAGUGUCAUCGCGGGAAGGUAUACGAAUGAUAUUGGCAAAGUAAGUGGAAAUUAGCUUCUGAGAGCUCCGAUAUCCUUGAAUUGUUUCUGUUUACUUUUCCACUCGAAUUGUUAUUUAUUGCAAUAUUGUCGCUUUACUUGUUAAAUUGGGGUUGUUACUUGAACAAUGUGCUUACAUGUGUGUUCUUGGCCUCACGAGCGUUUUGCUCACCCUGUAGAUUUGUUUUCCUUAACAGGAUUUGGGCUUGGAGUGAGAUUCGGAGGAAUUUCUCUUUUGUGUACUCUUGUAAUAGGGUUCCAACUCUUUUGUCUAGACUUUUGGGAUAUUAUAUAUUUUGGGUUGUAUUAUGGAAACCCGCUAUAAGAAUUUGAUGAUUGUUAUAUCUCAUUAAGCUUGAACGCUUCCGCGUUAAUUGUAUUUAUCUUUUCUGGUUGUUGAUUUCUAGCACCGCUAUAAGCUUGAAUGGUGAUUGCUUGAGUCCUGACGAGAGUUGGGCAGGCGUUCCGCGGAUACCCUUUGGUUCGCCUUAGGGAGAAGUGGGGGCGUCACAGCUACUCUACUGUUGUACCAUGUAAUUGUAGUAUUACAUAUAUCAAAGCAUUUUCACACACUUUACAUGCACUAGGAGGAUUCGCACGGUGUAAUUUUCAACCUUGCCCAAAAAUGACCAAUUAUUCAAAUUUAGAUAUUAAGUAUGAAAAAUUAUAUAAAAAUGAACUUAAAUCUUUGUGGUUAUAUUUUUGUAGUUUUAUUAAACAAUGAAAAUAAGUAAUUUGUUAAGGUAAUGCAUGAUAAUAUAAUCAAUAGAUUACUGAGAUUAUUAAGAUGUCCCUUGUUUUGGAUACAAUGAAAAGAAAAUAAAAAAAAGAAAGAUAUAUUUGAGGAGAAACUGAUAGUUUUGUUCGUAAACUUUUGCAUGAUUGAGUUGGAUAAUCAUUUACUUGUCCUAGAAAUAAAAGAAAUUAGAGGAGAAAAAAUGAAGAUAGAUGAUCAUGCACUUUAGCUUGACAAAGUCCUCAUAUUGGCUCCUAUAACAUGGAAUAGCAAAUUUAUAACAUAAUUGAAGGGAAAAAAAAAAAAGAAAAGAAAAGUCGAGAAAUUUUCAUUGUUUGCUCCGACCUCAACAAAAAGCAACCAGUACUCAAGUUUCGCUUAAUCUGCAAAACAAAUAAGAUGGAACAUGUAAACUUAAACAUUUAUUUAAUUUUAAUUUUAUUUUAUUGUGUAAGGUAAGCUAAAUUUAUAAUAAAAAGGAAACAAAAAUUACAUUUCUUUGUACAUGCGGAAAGAAAUAGGAUAAGUGUAAGGAAGAAUCAUUCUCAAUCUAGAAAAAUUGGUGACUUUUGAGCAAAUAAAAAAAAUCAUGGCCAAAGUUUCUUACCAAUAUGAGAGUAACUAUCACAAAUUCGGUGAGUUCAAAGCAAAAGCCCAAAUAAGAAAAUGAAAAGAAAAGAAAGUCAAUGUCAAAAACCAGAAUUUGAGGGGAGAUCUCUUCGUGAUGGCAAUAGUUUCUUUUGUUCCUUUUUAAUAAGAGGAAAAGAGCAAAUUAGCAAUGCAAACAAAGCAAAUAUUAAAAUAACUAAUCUCUAAAGCAGAAAAUGGAGAGAAAAACGUCAAAAUUAUGGAAACUUAGUAAAUACUAAAACUUCUGGGCACUUAAGCGCUAUGGAGAUAAACAAACAUUUAGAUUUUUUAGAUUCCUAAAUUUCUAUCACAUAAAACAUUAGACAUCAAAGAAGUAAACAAAAUUUAGCCCAGGCAAUCAUCAACAAACAAAAACCUCUACAUUAUAUCUGUAAAUCAGAAUUCGACCAUAUUAAACUGUAUCAAAAAAAAAAAGAGAAAUUCCACCCGGCAUGAUAUGAAAACAACAUAUUUAAAAAACUCUUAUUAUUGCACAUUAAAUUUUUUCCCAAAAAUAAUUUAAAAAAUGCCUACAAAUGUCCUACAUCAUGCAACAAAGCACAAACCACAUAUAUAUGUAUGUGUGUAUGGAAAAAGCUAAAAAAUUAAAGGUCAGUAAUAUAAAAAAGAAUAGUCGAAGCAACUCAUGACAGGAUCCAAACAGAACAAACAGCUACGAACAAAUACAAAAAAGGUAUAGUGAUGCAAAUUUGGUAUAAAUUUAUCUUUAAUAUCUGCAUUAUCCCUUUAAUCAAUUCAAAUGUCCAUUUGUAUUGUAAGUAAGAAAAUCACAUAAAAGCAAGAUACCAAGUGUCGGACAAAAUCUAUGUUAAGGCUAGAAGAACCACCUAUUGAUAACACCUUCGAGGGCUGCUGGAAUAAGAAUAUCACAGUCUUCAAGCAAAAUAGAAUUGGGAUCAACACUGUCAGCACCCCUCCAUGGUUUUCCCUGACAUGCUUCCAUAGGUUUGGUACGUCAAUUCCCUUACCGUGCUGCUUUAUGGCUCCUGUUAUAUCACUUGCGCGAAUUACCUUUUCCCCUUGUUCACUGAUAAGUUGAGCAGCCCAGGAUCCGACAUUACCAAAUCCCUGAAAUCAAGAAGAAAAUUCUAUGAUCAUAUGACAUUCGAUAAUUUUUGACUUUUUAACUCGCUCUCUCUUCUCACGAGUCAUGAGACAUUUUGUGAUGUAACUUCUAAGUCCUCAAGGAAGGCUCUUUGAAUGAGCUUGUAGUUUCAACAAAAUGCAUCCCACAGUAUUUGAGCAUAUCAGAAACUAAAGGUACACUUGAAACUACAAAUGCAUCCCACAGUAUUCGAACAUAUUAUAAACUGAAGGUACACUUCCCAGUGGUGCUACUUGUACAACAAAUCAUUGCCUAGCGAUACUCUUUCCAUAUUCAUUAAGCAGCGCUUUAGUUGCAAAGAGUACUCCCCUCCCUGUUGGUGCAUCUCUGCCGAGGGAUCCACCAAGAUCAUGUCACCCAAGAAUUUGAAUAUCUUGCGAUAAAUAAAAGUUGAAAUUUUUUGAGGUUCAAAAUCUUAGAAAUCAAAGAAGCACAUUGAUCCUUAUACAUUUGGAAUUGGAUAAUUUACUACAGGUUUUCCAGUUACUAUUGCAGGUGAAUAGCCAUGAAAUUUAUAGUACUCAUCCAAGCCAUUGUCCGCUCAAAUGCGAGACAUUUCCAAUCCAGUUAAUUGGAUGAGCUUCAUAGACAAUGUUGUGUUUAUCACUAUAUUUUUCUCCAAAAACAAAAAUGUCACCUAGAUAUGUACUCCAAUCAUAUCAUACUGUUGAAAACCAGUUUUGCACUGACCUGUGCAUUUGUUCCCAUAUCAGGCGCAGGAACAUCAGUGUGAACUCUAAUCAAAUUAUUCUUAGUGCUGCUAGUGUAACUCAAAAUUUUGGUCAAUGACUAACUUGGCAUGGAAGUUCUAGAUUCCCAGAGGAGAAAUGUAUUAAUUCAUCAAGUGCUGAAAACCAAUGAAGAAAAGGGAACUGGAAGAACUAAAGCAAAUAGAAAGACAUUUUAAAGAUGAAAAAAUCUAUUUUAAACAACUGAUCUUUUUAGUUAGCAUAUGGAUUGCUUUUUCUGAGCAGGAGAUCAACAAAACACCUGCAUGAAAGACACCAAAAAAAUGACUAAAACGAAAACUCGAAAAGAGAAAAUGCCAAAGAAAAUGGCUAAAAAGAAAAGCAUAACAUAAUAAAGAUAACAUAAUAAUAAUUAAUACAGCUAGAGCAUAGCAUAAGCAAUUAUUACAAUAAAUAAAAAAUAAUAAUUAAUAAUUGUGAUUUAUUUGGCAACCAAAAAAAGCAUUGAUAAUUGUGAAUAAUUGGGAUACCAAUUUUUUGUUAACACAAUUUAUUGUUGGGAAAGGGAAAAAAAAGGCUAAAUUUUAGCACAAUCCUACAUGCAAUUAGAAAACUACCACCUCCCAUCCAAUCAAAACUCGCCACAUCACCAUCUUCAUAAACAAUUGGGAGGACUACCACCAAUGAACGAAUCAGAGGGCAACAACUCAUCAAAUUAGAAUCAAUUGGAGGACUACCACCAAUCAGCCAAUGAGAGAAUGCCAAGUCAGCAAUUGAGUUCAAUUAGAGACAAUUGCAUUCACACAUAGACUAUGUAUGUUAAUAACUAUUCAAUAUAACAUUUAACCGGUAACAUAUAAUAUUAAUGUGUGGCAAUGGCAACUUGUAGUUCAUGACAUUUAUUAUCAUACAUAAGGAGUUGCAAGAAUAUAAAUCAUUUCAUAGAUAUUCAUAAUUCAUAAUUUCAUAUACAAUCACAAUCCAAUUAUAUUGAUCUGUUCAAACCCGUUUACUAAUAACCCGUUCAAAUUCACCCAUUAAAAUUUAAACGGGUCUAAGUGAGUACGUAAUUAAAUUCAUUUGAUUGGUGGAUAGUUGAUUGAUUGGACUGACCCAUUUAUACUCAUUUAAAAAUAAAUAUACAUUUAAACUCCAUUUUUACUAAAUGUUAAAAAGAUAAAUUUGAAUUUUCUAUUAAUCUAAUAAUAAUAAUAAAAUAUUAUUUUUUUCUUGUUAAACGACAUGCGAAAAAUUAAAAAAAUAAGUAGAAUUUCAAAUCAAUGAUAAAUGGGAAUAUUAACUAUUCCCGAAAUCAUUUCCUCCCUACGCUUAAUUCAUGCGCGUGUGGCCUCCAGUGUCCAUUUUCCCUUACGGUUCACUACAUUAAUCAUCAGUGUACGUGCACGUGCCUAUUUCUGAGCACGUUCCUAUGGUAGGCACGGUCAAACCGUGCCUGCCAUAGAAUGAUCCCCACACGCAUCCCUCAUCAGUCCCGUCCAUACUUCUUCUUCAGGUCUCAGCUACUAAACAAUAAACUCUGCUCCACUCAACUCUUUCCUCUGUCUUGUGUUUUUGUCGGAAAAUGGCGGCGUCAGAUGAAGUGAAAGUGCCAAGAAUCAAGCUGGGCUCGCAAGGUCUUGAAGUUUCAGCUCAAGGGCUGGGCUGCAUGGGCAUGUCAGGCUCCUACGGGCCGUCAAAGCCCGAGCCUGAUAUGAUCAAACUCAUCCACCAUGCUAUUAGCAGAGGUAUCACCCAUCUUGACACCUCCGAUAUCUAUGGACCUCACACCAACGAAAUACUCAUUGGCAAGGUACCAUAUUUGCAAAUUUUCUGCUGUUGUGCGCUAUGCAUAAACUCUUGUACUUUUAAUUUCUUAAAGAGCAUAUUUGUAAAUAUUUUAUUUAUACUUAACCCCCUGCACUUCAAAACUUGUCUCCCUUUGUGCCCCCUUAAUUUUGCUUGUCAGCACUUAAACUCCAUUUGUUUAAAUUGUAAGUAUUAUUAGUCAAAUAGGACAUUGUUCUUCUUUUCUGCUUCUUCAUUUUUUCAUGUUACUGCUUUUUCAGUUUGUCCUCCUUUAUAAACAUGGAAUGAAUUACUUUGACUUUGAUUUUGGUGCAAUUUUGUAUCAAAUGAUUUUUGCUAUGAAGUUAUUGAUUUAUUAUGAACUAUGCGUUGUAUAUUUACACAAAUUCUGCUAGUUAAACAUUCAUUUGAGCAGGCAACAUGAGUAAUAUAAUUCUCUAUGGGUGCAUUUGGUAAAUUUGAAGUUUGAAAACUGAAAUUUAAUCUAAAGUUUGAAUCCAUAAAGUUAUUAAAUUGUUAAAUACUAAAUCUGAUACGUUUGAGUGCAUGUCACACUAAAUGAUAAGUGAACAACUCUAUCACUUAUUUUUGGAGUAAGUGUUGCUUAAGAAAUUCAGUGUCAUUUAAUUAAUUCAAAUAUUCAAAUUUGAUUUUAAAUGCUUCUGAACAUAUUAAGAUCUGAAUUCAUUAACUUUAAGUGCUAAAUUAGUUGUCAAGCAGGGCCUAUAAUUAUUAGGUAACCAAGCAAACGUGUUUAGGGUAUAAUAGUAAUUAACUUUCAAUUCGUCUCGUUGUUCUUUGGUAAGGAAUUCUUUGAUUCAUUUAAUAAUAUUUUUCUCGUACACAGGAAUCAAAAUAAUUGAAGUUUUAUCUCUACCAUUGAGAUAUGUUACCUUCUAAAAGAAAGGAAAGGGAAGCAAACAAGGGCGGAAAAUAGGAAAGGGCAAAGUGAUGAUAAAUAAAAUUGGAAGUAGCAAAAUGAGACAAGUGAAUUAUUACAAGGGGUUAAGUGUAAAUUAUAUUUAUUUUAUUAGACUAUUUAACCAAAAAGACUAGACUCUUUUAAGGCACCAAUCAAAAGUCCCAACUGCUGGAAAUAACAUAAAAACGACUUUGUUUGGUUUGGCGUUUUUGGAGGUGGUUCAUGAAAAUUUUAUUGUAGUUUUUUUUUCUUUCUUGAAAAAAUAUACUUGUAAGAGAAAAAAAAAGUGGUUGAAAAAUAUUGAGAGUUUUUUUUUAUAAAUAGUUUUCUAUAUAGCUCAGUCACCCAAAUUUUUCAAUAUUCCGACAAUGGCAUCCAUGUGGUGUCAAUUGUCAAACGUGCAACAAAGUUGAGAAGAGAAGGAUUUCAAAAUCUUGUAGCUACACGCGUAUAUGUUGAAUAGCUCUAUCCCAUUAGAAGUAGCCACGUGACAUGAAGGAUUUAGAACUUUUCUACCAUCUCUUUAUUUUCUCUUUUUUUUCCCUUCAAAAUUCGACGUCAUAAUGAAAUUGGUAUUUUUGUCCUUGAAGUUAAAACUUUCAUCAAUUAAUGGAAAGUUUACUAUUUCUCUGAUAAGAGAGAGUAAGUUUUAAAGAUUAUGAAAAGAGAAUUGUAUGAAGGAAUAGAAGGGAAAAGAAAGGUAAGAAAAUGGACGGAUUGUGUUUGGAUUGAUUUUGAGAGGGGAAAGGAGAUGAAACGGAAAGAAAAGGAAAUGGAUGGAUUUUGUUUUGCUCAGACAUCAUUUCCAUACAAAAGUAGACGGAAACAGAGGGAAAGAAAAUCUAUUGACAGGUGCCGAACCUGUACAAUAAUAAAUACCUACUCGAGAAAAAUACAGAUUUUGUAUAUAGCGGUGAGUAGGGUCGAAUCCACGGGGACUGGGGAUAAUUCGUUUCUUCUAGAGUCCAAAGUAUGGGGGGUUUUGGAUUGAAUGCUAACUAAAUAAAUUAACUGCAGAAAAUAAUUGAUUAAGAGAAAUAAUUAAGGGAAAACUCUAGCCAAGGGUACACUUCAGACAUGGUUCAGACACUGAUCAUUGAUUCACACAUAAUUCCACAUUUAUUAAUAGACCAGUUAUAGUUGUCAUGCACGCGAUAAACAACCAACCUUUCCUUAAUUUCUCGAUAGUUAAGGUACGACCGUUAACUAUUUCUCUAACCCAAAAACAACCCUAGGUACGACCGUAGGAUUUAAUUUCUAGAUUGCAUUAAUAAUUAGAAAGGCCCAAUCCUAACUAACAAACACGCUACGGGGGUUUGUUUAAGUUAGAUCGUAUGCUCCCCUGACAUAAACCCAAUUACGCCAGUUGCUACUGAGAUAAAGAUAACGAACAAUUACGGAUUCAAUUAUCCCUAUUUAGCAAAAUAGCCUAUGUGAAUAAUUAAAUAUUGCGCAUCUAUUCAAUCACUCACACGAGCUAUAGCAAUUAAAAGCAGGAAACAUAUAAAUAUAAAUAAAUUAAGGAAGCAAUUAAAAUAAAUUAGAUCUCACAGUAAUUGUUGAACCAAAUCUUCAGUUGUCCCCUUGACUUGAAUUAAGAGGUUAGUUCUCCAUUAAUGGAGAACAACCAUGCGAAAGAGCUAAGAAAAGAAAACUCAAAACUCAACUAAAAACCUCAAACUAGUGAUUCAUUCCUCCCCGUUCUCUUGUACGUUUCUCCCUUUUUAAAGCCAAAAGGAAGUCUAAUGCUAUCUCUAGUGGUCCCCACACCAAAUUCAAAGUCUUGUACGUUUCUUUUCCUAGAGUCCAAAUGAUUCAUGCUUCUUAUCCGUGGUCCCCGCACAUGUGGACAAAGCCUUCCAAGUACUUCUUGUUCCAAGUCUCUUUCCGUAGCUUUCUUUGAAGAGCCCAAAUGACUUAUUAGCUUUUCACUAGCUUGUGGUCCCCACCACUCCAAGGGCCCAAGAAUUGAAGUCCUUAGAAGUCUCCCUAUUUUCCAUAAAGUCCUUCCUUUUUGGUAGUUUCCUGCAUCAUUCCUGAAAUUAAGUCCAGAUACCAAAUAUGAGUAAAUAUUAGCAAUUAACACAAUAUUUAUCAGGGAUGAAAGGGGAAAUUAAUAAUAAAAUUACUAACAAAUUAUACCCUAUCAAUUCCCCCCACACCUGAAUCAUGCUUGCCCUCAAGCAUGGGAAAAAUUCAACUCAACAAUGGCUAGCUUUCACAUUAUCAUAGCCAGCUGUGCUUAUACCCAAAAUCAAGAUCUAGUAACAAAGUGUCAAGACAUGUCUCUCCCGGUUAGCUCCUAAGUUCAUAGACUUGUCCAAUUCAUGGCUAAUUCGCUUAGGAAAUCCAAAUACUAACUAGCAACAGUCAAUAACUAAGUCAACUGGCAACCAAAAUCUCAACAAUACGAACCAAGGAUCGGCAGGCUAACAUGAUCAUAAACUCACAUAUUCUCCACAUCUGAUUUUCUCUUCUUUUUUUUUUCUUCUUUUUUGUUUGAUUUCCCUUUUUUUUCUUUUCUUUUUUUUUUUUCCUUUUUCUUCCCUUUUUUUUUUUUGGAUUGCUUAGUCCCGAGCUGUUUAAAUCUUUUGACGUGAACUCUAACAUUUUUAGAUGAAAGAGCCCAGUUACUUAACUUUUCACUGCUCCAGGACCACUUACUCAUAGAUAUCGCCACUUUUUGACGCGAGAGCCGACACUUGUGGUGAAGACUCCCGGUUACUGGGUGGCGACACUAGCGGAGUAUAGCCAUACGUUAUUCACCAAUAAACACCAAAAUAUCAAGUAAUUAAAGAUCAUAGCCUGCGUCAUGUCCUAAAUAUGGAGAACUAAGGUAGACAGGAGACCAAUCCACACAACAAUGCCAGCCAAAUAUUUACAUUGCCUAAACAAGUUAGCCAUAAAUUGCACCAAGUCGUUAAACUCAAAAAAAAAUUCACCAAGACAGCAUGCUCUUACUUGCCAUCGAAACUCAAUUCAUAGUGUAAACUACAACUAGCAAUAAAUAAAUGAGCUGCCAAAAUAUUCACCAAGAUAACAGCAAGGGAAAAAUACCCAAAAGGGAUAAAGGAACAACACCUAAACAGAAAACAAGAGGAAAACAAUAAUAAAAAAAUGAAAAACUGAAAAUAUCCAGCACCCAAACUGACCCCCCCACACCUAAAAUGACGCAUUGACCUCAAUGCGAAAAGAUAAUAGCAGAAAAAGGGAAGGGGCAACGGUACUUCCCUGAAGUCGUCCAGACAAGGGAGGGUUAGGCGGAAACGGCGGAGGGAAACCGGCUUGCUGCAUAAAUGCCGCUAUACUCUGUGCCAUGCCGGCGACAUUAGUGUCAACAGUGACCAUCCGAGCCUUCAAAGCCUACGUUUCUGAAGCCUUUAUUGGGCCACAUAAAACGCGAUUGAAAACGCGCCUUCAACUCGCGUUUUCUAAGUCGCGUUUCCUUCACAAAACUUGCAGGACUUAAAACGCGAUUGAAAACGCGCCUCUAACUCGCGUUUUCUGAGUCGCGUUUCCUGCACAAAACUUGCAGAAAUGAAAACGUGACUGCAAAAAGCGCCUCCCACUCGCGUUUUCUGAGUCGCGUUUCCUGCACAAAACUUGCAGAAAUGGAAACGCGACUGUGCAGGUAAACGCGACUUCAAGUCGCGUUUUUGAAUCUUGACCCCUUCCUGCACUUUAUCACGCGGGCGCGUCAAGAGGAAAUGCCACCUACAUAUUAGCAACAACGAAAACUGAAACCCAAAAUCAGUCGAAUUCAAGGGAAAUAUAUUUAAACUAUCACACGAAAUCAAACAAACAAUUAAAAGAAACAAUUGGGUUGCCUCCCAAGUAGCGCCUUUCUUUAAUGUUUUUGGCUAGACAUGCUAUGCUUGUUCACGGGGGAUAAAAUCUUGUGGCUCGUUUCAAUGCUUCAUCUUCAAUAUGAUCCUGGUAACCCUCAUAGAUGGAGUAAUCUUUGAGCACACGAGUUACGGGCUUCCAUGGACUAGUAAAUGGCGUUAAACAAGUCAACAAUGAUCUGCAUUCUCCACUCACUCCUCCACCACACGCAUUCAUCGGUUCAAGAUAUUUUUUCAUUGCCACUCUUAACUUAUUCCUGUCAUGAAAUUUCAGAUUUUCUGGUAUAAUAAAAUCAAUUUCAGUAACAGGAAUUGAAGAGGAGGAAUUAGGAAAAUAUUGAUUAAGGAGUGGAGAAGAUGUCACCGCAUUUGGAAAUUGUUCACUGGAUUCAUUCACUUGAAUAAUUUGAUGUUGGAGUCUCAUGUCUUCCGCUUCAACUUCCUUUUCAACUGUAUCUUUGGAUCCUCCUUCUUGAGACUCUUGCAGUUCCAUAUCACUUGUCAGGAUAAUUGCACUCUCACCUUUCUUAGAGUCAUUGAUGGUCUGUGAGGGCAAGUCUGACAUGAAUGACGAUUGUUGAGACUCUUGCAGCUGAAAACUCAUUGGCCCCUCUUCAUAAUUAACGUUGGAGUUAUCCCACCAUCCUUGAUCAUACCGGUUUGAAUAAGGGUCAUACCACGUUUGAGAUCGAGGUGAAGAAUCUCCAAAUUUUUUUUUGAGAUAGUCACUCAGGUAGUCUUGAUAUUCGGGGCACAUACCGGUUGAAUGAUCCCUGGCAUAACAAAUUUCACAGGUUGCAGCAGCCAUUCUUUCUCUAACAGAGUUUAGUGCCUCUGCAUAUGCAGACCUCACAAAAAAACUAGCCUCAUUACCUUCCCCGGAAAUAAAAUCCAGUAUAUCACCAAAAUACGGAGUGUAAGAAACCAUAAACUAAAUAAAAAAAAAGAAUGUAAACAAGAUGAAUUGAAAAAGAAACAAAUAACUAGCGCCAGUCCCCGGCAACGGCGCCAAAAAUUGACAGGUGCCGAACCUGUACAAUAAUAAAUACCUACUCGAGAAAAAUACAGAUUUUGUAUAUAGCGGUGAAUAGGGUCGAAUCCACAGGGACUGGGGAUAAUUCGUUUCUUCUAGAGUCCAAAGUAUGGGGGGUUUUGGAUUGAAUGCUAACUAAAUAAAUUAACUGCAGAAAAUAAUUGAUUAAGAGAAAUAAUUAAGGGAAAACUCUAGCCAAGGGUACACUUCAGACAUGGUUCAGGCACUGAUCAUUGAUUCACACAUAAUUCCACAUUUAUUAAUAGACCAGUUAUAGUUGUCAUGCACGCGAUAAACAACCAACCUUUCCUUAAUUUCUCGAUAGUUAAGGUACGACCGUUAACUAUUUCUCUAACCCAAAAACAACCCUAAGUACGACCGUAGGAUUUAAUUUCUAGAUUGCAUUAAUAAUUAGAAAGGCCUAAUCCUAACUAACAAACACGCUACGAGGGUUUGUUUAAGUUAGAUCGUAUGCUCCCCUGACAUAAACUCAAUUACGCCAGUUGCUACUGAGAUAAAGAUAACGAACAAUUACGGAUUCAAUUAUCCCUAUUUAGCAAAAUAGCCUAUGUGAAUAAUUAAAUAUUGCGCAUCUAUUCAAUCACUCACACGAGCUAUAGCAAUUAAAAGCAGGAAACAUAUAAAUAUAAAUAAAUUAAGGAAGCAAUUAAAAUAAAUUAGAUCUCACAGUAAUUGUUGAACCAAAUCUUCAGUUGUCCCCUUGACUUGAAUUAAGAGGUUAGUUCUCCAUUAAUGGAGAACAACCAUGCGAAAGAGCUAAGAAAAGAAAACUCAAAACUCAACUAAAAACCUCAAACUAGUGAUUCAUUCCUCCCCGUUCUCUUGUACGUUUCUCCCUUUUUAAAGCCAAAAGGAAGUCUAAUGCUAUCUCUAGUGGUCCCCACACCAAAUUCAAAGUCUUGUACGUUUCUUUUCCUAGAGUCCAAAUGAUUCAUGCUUCUUAUCCGUGGUCCCCGCACAUGUGGACAAAGCCUUCCAAGUACUUCUUGUUCCAAGUCUCUUUCCGUAGCUUUCUUUGAAGAGCCCAAAUGACUUAUUAGCUUUUCACUAGCUUGUGGUCCCCACCACUCCAAGGGCCCAAGAAUUGAAGUCCUUAGAAGUCUCCCUAUUUUCCAUAAAGUCCUUCCUUUUUGGUAGUUUCCUGCUUCAUUCCUGAAAUUAAGUCCAGAUACCAAAUAUGAGUAAAUAUUAGCAAUUAACACAAUAUUUAUCAGGGAUGAAAGGGGAAAUUAAUAAUAAAAUUACUAACAAAUUAUACCCUAUCAAUCUAGUUCAUGAUUUUCUAGUAAAAUGCCUCAAGCACCCAAAAUUUUACGUAAACUUGAGUAAGCAUGUAUUUCAUAUCUGUAGAACUUGCCAUUUGUGAAACCUGCUUUAGAUAUGAAUUGUGGUAUGCAACAGCACGCUAGGAAUGUUUGGCUAAGCAACUUAUGUAAAUAUUUUAUCGUUAAGCAAAGUUCCUCCUUUCAUGUCUGUCAUUCUAUGCAAACCUCCUUUUAUCGUUAAGCAACUUAUGUAAAUAUUUUAUGUAAAUAUUUUGGUUUUCUUACUUUCCCAUCCAUAUCUAAUCCAAAUAUGACAAAUGAGAACUAUUUUCCUCUACUCUCCUUUCCUUUCUUUUUUACUAGGAUGUUUUAUUUAUUUAUUUAUCCUUUCCUUUGAUCCAAAUGGUUCCUAAAAGGGCACUAAUUAAUCUACAUUGAUCAGUUCCCUAUAUUUGUAUUAAUGUGCAUGUACACGAUUCUGUGAAUGACAAUUAGGCUAGAUUGCUUCAAAUCUUGUGAAUGACAGAGCUAGAUUGUAAAUUUAAGUUGAAGAAAUAUAAAACAAAAAGAAAAAGAAAAUGGAUUGGCUCCUUUAAGAGUAUCAGACUUCUAAACCCCAAGGAUUACAUAAUUUUCAUAUCCUUUGCCACACAAAGAAGUGGCAUAGCCUUAACAAUGAAGUGUUGGAAAAACUCCAGAAGGACUGUGCAAUCCAUGAAAUCACAAAAUCCGCUUGCUAUACCAUGCAUUAAUGUGUAUGUCCUUGAUGAUUAACAUAAUGAAAUCAUGGUUCUAGGCCUUGAAGGAAGGAAUAAGAGCGAAAGUGGAGCUAGCAACAAAAUUUGCAAUCAGUUAUCAGGAUGGGAAAUUUGAUGUAUGUGGUGAUCCAGCCUAUGUGAGGGCUUGUUGUGAAGCGAGUUUGAAGCGGCUUGAUGUGGACUGCAUUGAUCUCUAUUAUCAACAUCGCAUCGAUACACGUGUGCCCAUUGAAGUCACGGUUUGCUCCAUUUUGCCUUUCUUGUUUUUUAGCUCCACCUCAUUCUUGAUGAAACAAAAGUUUGAUCAACUCCAAAUUUAGAAUAAUUCAGUUUCAUGUCCGUUUCAAUUCUUCAAAAAUUGCACAGAAAAGUUAGUCAACCUUAUGGUCUAGGCUAAUCUGCAGUAUGGUAUUGCUGAAUUAGCACAAGGCAUCCUGAAAAGUGAAAACAAUGAAAAUGUCUUAUAUUAGCUUGACAGUCCUGCUGAGGGAUAUACAGGUUGAUAUCAUGCUAUACAUUAUACAGCUUUCGUUUAGAACCAAGAGACCUGAGCAUUCUUUUUCAUUUGAGAUAGGCUAUCCAGUUGAGAUAUACUAUUUACUUACCUUGUCAAUCGUUUUCAGUCGGUGCCAAAAGCACUGCAGAUAGACGUUUUUUAGUCAAUAUCUAAAAACAUGGUACUCAUUUUGUUCAGAGUAUAGCUUUUUGUCUAAUUGUGAAAGCCAACUGCAACUGCCUCAUUGACCUCUCCAAGCAAUUCAAAGAUUUCAGCAGCUUGCUUACAUUAAGCUUUUAUGAAACGAUUUCUCUGUCUUCUUUUUCUCAUGUAGUCAGCAAAGAAUUGUCUUGUUUUCCCUGAGUAUUAGGAAGAAACUUUCUUGCAGUUUAAUCACUCAAAAUACAGGCAAGUAUAAAGGAAAUCAAGCAAAAUUGGCAACUGAUAAUUGCUGCGUACAGCCAUUAUUAUAUAUAUAAGUCAACAAUGUCAUGUAAUCAUAUUGGAGGAGCAUUAUGUUGGCAUGGUCCAGUAGAACUAAGUCAUCCGUUGGGCUGUACAUAGAGAACUAUCACUGGAUGCUUAUUGCCAUUUUCAUCAACUAGGGAUUUCAGUUUGACGUAUACUUUGUCCAAGACUUCGUUGAACUAGUGCAACUUUUACUUGUUCCACGUAAUAUUUCGAUUAUCUGCCUAAGUAUUGAAUGUAAUAAAUCAGCUUCGCAUCUUCUUGUCCAUUGAAAUUCUCUAGAUUGGAGAGCUCAAGAAACUGGUUGAAGAGGGUAAAAUAAAGUAUAUAGGUCUGUCUGAGGCCUCAGCUUCAACAAUUCGAAGAGCACAUGCUGUUCAUCCAAUAACAGCUGUACAGUUGGAGUGGUCAUUGUGGACCAGAGAUGUCGAGGAAGAGAUUAUUCCCGCUUGCAGGUAGUGCGUAUAUUCUGCUGCAUUUUCUACAUGGUCUAGAAGAAAUAUGAAGUUCUCAAUUCAGUUUUUGGUAUAAUCUUUCAGAGAUCUUGGCAUAGGGAUUGUUGCAUAUAGUCCACUUGGACGAGGUUUCUUCUCAUCAGGUCCAAAGCUGAUCGAGAAUUUGGCUGAAGGUGACUUCCGAAAGGUUUGUGCAUAGCCAAAAAGAUUGUUUAUAGUUCGAAUAAGUUUCUCACUCAGUGGCAAUCUUGCUUGAUCACAUUUAAUCAAAUUUCUAUUAAGCAUAGCAAUUCAACGGGUUUUUUUUUGUUUUCUUCUUGAACAAGUCUUGAACUCUUUAGUUUGAUUCAAUGAAUGCAGAUUUUGGUGUCCUCGGUACUUAGUUCAAAUUAAAAGAUAUAGCACUAGCUUUGUCAAAUUUUAGAUCUUAUAUGAAUUGAAGGUUGUUAUUGCAUGCUGGAAAUUUAUAUAGAGGACAACAAUCGCAAGCAAUGGAUGGUAUUGAAUUUUAAAGUGCAAAGACGUCCUAAGAUGUCAAAACAGGAAGAAACUAUGCCAGUUUUUAAGUAAAAGUCUCUUUACUGUUUUGAGGGGAAAUGGGCCUUAGACUUCAAUUUCAUCAUUUAGUCUCAGGCACAGAACUUAUGUUGUCUUGUGAAACUAUCAUUUUUCUUUUACCAUUAAUCCUAAAACUGAGUUUCAUUGGUCAGAACUCAGAAGUAUACUUCAUAGUUGAUUUGUAUUUUAAGUUUCCUCUUUGAUGGGAAAUAUAUCUCAGAACUUAACUCCAACAGUUGAUGAUUCCUACUUGGGAGUAUUCAGUCCACCUUGAUGCAUUGUUCUUUCCCCUGAACUUGUGCCCUUCAAACAAUAUUUCUGAUCAUCUUGAAGUAAUUAGUACCGUCUGUUCAUUACUCCCUUCUGAUUUCUUGCAUUAUAGUUUCCUCUUUAAUGGGAAAUGUAUCGCAGGAUCUACCUUCUACAAUUGAUGUUUCUUUCCCCUGAAGUUAUUCGUAACGUCUUCUGGCAUUAUAGUUGCUUAAAUUUUGAAAUUCAUACAAUGCAGUAUAUGCCAAGGUUUCAAGCAGAGAAUUUGGAGCACAACAAGAACUUGUACGAGCAGGUCAAUGCCAUUGCUUCAAGGAAGGGUUGUACUCCAUCACAGCUAGCACUGGCCUGGGUCCAUCACCAAGGCAAUGAUGUUUGCCCCAUACCGGGCACUACCAAGAUUGAGAACCUCAAUCAGAAUAUAGGAGCUUUGUCUGUAAAACUGUCUGCAGAGGAAAUGGCGGAACUUGAAUCCAUCGCUUCUGCAGGAGUCAAGGGUGAUAGGUAUGGGCCUGGCCUUGUUACUUGGCAAACUUCUGAAACUCCACCUUUGUCAACCUGGAAGAGGACAUGAAGACAUAUCUUUGUUAUGGCAAUAAUUCCUUCUAGCUAUGUGCCUGAGGGUGGAUUUCAGUAUAUUGACAGUUGAGUGACGUAUUUGUUCCAAUAAAUUUCGUCAUACUAUUGUCUCGAGGUUUUAGGCAAGUAAAGUUAUAAGAAGAAUGCGUUAAAGGUUUCUUCAGAGGUUGUACUGAAUAAAAAUCUGAUCAUGUAAAAAUAGAACAUAAUUUUCCUUGCAGUUGAAUGCGUUAAAGGUUAGCUAUUCUAGUUUUGAAUGCUAUAGCAGUCCAUUUCUUAUAUGCUACACUGUUACAAGAGAUAUAGACUGUCGAACAGCAUUUUAUGGUCGGAAUGUUUACAUCAAAAGCAUCUCCAAGGACAUGUCAUUCUAAAGUGUAUAAACUACAUCAUACCAACAAAAAGCAGAAAAAGGCCUAAGGUAUGGGAUAUUUCUAAAAUUUCAUGGGAGGCUUGUGAUAGCAAAAACUUCUGAAAUUGUCCCUUGAACUAAACUGAAAGACAGACAAUGGUAAGAUUUUAAGCAUGUCUUGUUAAGUUAAAAGGUUAAAACUUUACAUACAAAUAAAUGGUCAAAUUCACUUUAAAAUUGUGGUGUCAUCUUCCACCUUAAACUUUUGUACUAUCCAAGUUUGUUUUAAUUCCUUUGGGAAAAUGAAACAUCGAAUGCAUUCAAAAAAAUGGAAAGGAAAUGGCUUACCUUUGCACUUACGUAUCCAAUUCCAAUUUGAACAUUACAUCAUCCAUCCAAUUGAAAACAAACUCCUAUGGAGAUUUUUUUUUUUCCUUUAUUUUGUUAUUAGAUCUGAAUUUAUUUCACAUUUGGUUGUCAGAUCUAAAAUUUUUUUCAAAGUUUGAAUCUAUUUCAAUAUAUUUCAUUAUCAUUAUUGAAACUUAAAACAGUUUAUUAACAAAUCUGGCGAUUGCCAUAUGUACGAAAGGGAGACACUUUUAAAAUUCUUUAUAUUUUUUUAGAUCUGUUUGUAAUUUUCAAUUCUACUGUAUCUGUUAAAUUAUGAUCUGUAAUUUUUAAUGCAUGUUUGACCUACCAUUAGGGGAGUUAUGUAAAUCAAAUCAUGUUAGAUGAUUUCCAAAAAAAACUUAACCGUUAAUUUCUCUUCCCCGUUUUAUUUGUCCACUCUUCAAUUGUCAAUAACUCUUUUAAGAUACUUUGUAAUACAAAAUCAACUAAAACCGGUAGAAUCUGUAAUUAAUAGCAGUAUUCAUAUCAUGUUUUUGUAUAUUACUCGUACAUCUAAUUAGUCACAUUUGGAGAAAGAAAAAAAAAAGAUGAAAAUAAAAUUCCCCGAAUUUUGUGGUUUUUUUUGGUGCCUUGUUUAAUCUCUAAUUUUGUUUUUUGGGUUUUUAUUUUAAUCGAUUUUGGUUAUAGAGAUUAAGUUUCUCAGCCCGAUUAAUCGGUUAAUUAAUUAAACAUGGUUUGAGUUGGGUUGGUUUAGAGAUUUGGUUUAUAAAAGGACACUUGGCAAGUUUAGAAGGGGUGGGAUAGGGAAUGAGACAGGGUGUGAUACAGAGAUCCGUUGCGCAUGGCGAGCCACAUUUAAAAAUUGGUUCCUACCAUAAAGCCUAUCAUGUCCUGACACAAGAUGGACUGUUUUUUUAAAUUUUUUUUGAAAGCAAGUGAAAAGUGUUGCAACUCAGGACUUGGAUAGUAAUUUUAAAAUUUAAUAGUGCACCUACCUUUUAACUUUUUUCGUGUGCUUUUAAGGUAUCAAAUGGGGAAAAAAACCAAUACCAUAUAACUUCAAAUGCAAGAUGGUACGAAAUUUGUUAAUAUGGAGAUGUUAAUAUACAUUGACAUGUAAAAAGUGCACUUUUAUCAAAAAGAUAUUUAUACUAAUAUUACAGUCAUUUUUUUUUCGAAAAUUCAACUUUUCAUGCAAAUAUGUAAUCAAUAUGCAUAAAUAGAUAGCAUUAGAUGAAUUUAAACAAGUAGCCUUCAAAUUUAAAAAUAUUUGAUUUCGUAAAUGUGCAUUCGCGAUUUAGAAAAAGUACUUUUCAAAUGGCAAAUCUAGAGAGCAAUAAAUACUCCUAGUUUAUUUUGAUUUUAAAUCUUCUUUUGACUUGUCAAAAAAGUGAAAACAUGAAACUAAUAAUGGGUCAGAUGCAGAUGAGUAUUAGAAAUUUGUUUUCUAGACUCUUUGGUCUCGCAAUUUUUUCAACAAUCAACUCCGACCAUUAUCACGGUCAUGUGAUUGUAGGUCUACCAGGUUUCGUAGUCCACGACAUGGAUUGGAUAUGUUGAUUAGCUGCCACCUUUUGGCGGAGGUGAGGUUCAAACCUCACCUGUAGUAAAAAAAAAAAAUUUAAGGGUUGUGUCAUAGUACUUUCUUGAUUUAGUUGAAUAUGUAUAUCCACUAACACCUAACACAAGUCUCCUUAUGCUCCCCUAGAUUAGGAUAGAAUAGGAUAUACAAUUGUAUCGUUGCCGAAAAAAAAUAUUAGUUGCCACCCUAUUGUCAUUAUUUUUCUUUUGUCAAUCAGCAACGUCUAUUCUAUUCAUAGUUAUUAAACCCGGCCCGGGAAGGAGUCCGGUGAAAGAGCUGAGUCAACGGGUUACUGGUUUAACCGGUGGGUGAGUGGUCCAACCGUUAGGUCACUACAUAUAUUUAAAUAUUAUGUUUUAUAAUUUUUUACGCCAUAAUAAAUAUUCAGUUAGUUUAAUUUAUUAUAGAUUCAUUAAUUUUUAUAAGAAUUAACAACCUAAAUUUAAUUAGUAAUCCACCAACUUUCAAGUAUAAAAUUUUAUCUCAGUGUAAUUAUCUAGUUUAUUUAUGAAUUUUAAGUGCAAAAGUUUAUUAAGAAUAAUAUUGGCCUUUAAAAUGAUUUGUGUAAUAUGUUAUUUUUAAGUCAAUUUCAUAAUUUAUAGAGUUCAGGGAAUAAUAAAAAUAUUAUUAAAAGAUUCCAAAUAACUAAUACUCUAAUAUAUAGUAUAAGAACAAAAUAAUUAAUAUAUGGUUGGCUGGUCUAGUGGUAAUGGUAGUCUACUUUUUUGCAUGAGAUCACGUGUUCGAAUCUCCAUUCUAGCAAUAUUUAUACAUUUUUUUCUUUUUCGUAGAACGGGUUCAAUGUUGAAACGAUCUUAUCAAGAACUCGGCUCGGUUUCAUGGCCGGUUUACCGGAUUGAUCGAUUGAACUGCCGGGCCGGGUCGGAUUUAAUAACUAUGAUUCUACUUCUAUUUUGAUUUCUAUUUUAGGGGAAGGGGAGGUCCAAUUGAAAAAUUGAUAGCUAUUGAACCAUCAUCGGAUAAAAUGAGUGCACUAUGCACGUAUGCGAAUCUAGGAGAAGCCGGCGCAAUGAUGGGAGGCAAUGUUUGAAUUUUUACCUGUCAUUCCACUAAGAUUUAUAGUCUUUGGUGGUGGCUAAUCACCCAAAGAGCUGUUGGUUAGCUCCCACCCUAUUAGAAACUAAAGGUUUUCAACCUUCUAAAAAAAAUGUUUUUGACUUUAAAAAAAAAUGUUUUUGUUUUUGUUUUUUCAAAAAUUAUUUUCAUCUAUCACCAACGGCAGUCAUGGGUUAUUUAUCCAAACAUAGAUCCGAACAACACUAAUCUCUCAGCAGCCAUCCCCUCAUUCCUUCUUGUAUCCUUUUUAUGAAUAGGAUUCAUCUUUUUGGUGUUCUAAAAUCACAUUUAAAAAGUUUUUUUCCCGAAAGUGUUAUUAUUUAGGAUGUGAAUGUUAAUUUUAAAAUUUUAAUAGUGGACCUAAAAAAAACUUGUAAAUUUUACAUAUGAGCACAAAGGGAAAAAAAACACCACAUAACUUCAAGUCCAAGAUUGUAUGCAGUUUGUCCAAUAAAUAGAUAUUCAUAAUUCAUAAUUUCAUAUAUACAUGUUAACUAAAAGCGUUAAUCACAAUCCAAUUAUAUUGAUCUGUUCAAACCCGUUCACUAAUAAUCCGUCCAAAUUGGCCCAUUAACUUUAAAUGGGUUAAAGUGAGUAUAUAAGUAAACCCAUUUAAUUGGUGGAUAGUUGAUUGAUUCGUCUUACCCAUUUAUACCUAUUUAAAAAUAAAUAUACAUUUAAACUCAAAUUUUACUAAAUGUUAAGAAGAUAAAUUUGAAUUUCCUACGAAUCUAAUAAUAAUAAAAUAUCAUUUUUCUUGUCAAACAACAUGUGAAAUAUAAAAAAAAAAGUAGAAUUUCAAAUUAAUCAUAAAUGAGUAAUUGAGUAUUCUCAUAUCUAUUUGUUAAAUGGAUAUAAAUGAAUUGAUUCAAUUAUAACUAUUACUCAACUAGAAUCCGCUCAAACCCGUCUAAGUUAAUCAUUUGACACCCCUAAUGUUAAUAUAUAUUGACAAGUGAAAAGUGCAGCAUUUAUCACGAAGAUAUACUUAUUUAUCUCAAUAUUAAAGUCAUUUUUUCAUUACAAAAAUAUUGAUAAUUUCAUAAUUUCAUGGAAGUAUGUAACCAGUGACAUAACAUAGUCGCCAGUGGCGAAUCUUGUCACGAGUCCUCUUUUCAACACUUUGAUUAUGGGAUACACUUUUAACAAUAUGCCCCCACGUUGUUUUUCGAUCACUUUUUUUUUUUAAACCUCACAUUCGUUCGUUAUGUAUGUAUAAUUUCUUUUCAAAAAACUCCAAAAAAGUGGCAGCCCAAACGGGGCCAACAAUCUACUAUGUUCGGCUGUUCUCCCGCCGGACCCACCGCCGGCGGCCAAUAGCCGCCGGACCCACCGGCCGCCGGCGGCCAUGGCCAUGGGUCAUCUAUAAAAGCAUAGAUCAAGACUACACUAAUCCCUCAUCAGUCCAGUCCAUCCAUACUUCUUCUUCAGGCCUCAGCUACUAAACAAUAAACUCUGCUCCACUCAAUUCUUUCCUCUGUUUCUUGUGGUUUUUGUCUGAAAAUGGCGGCAUCAGAAGAAGUGAAAGUGCCAAGAAUCAAGCUGGGGUCGCAAGGUUUUGAAGUUUCAGCUCAAGGGCUGGGCUGCAUGGGCAUGUCAGCCUUCUACGGGCCGCCAAAGCCCGAGCCUGAUAUGAUCAAACUCAUCCACCAUGCUAUUAGCAGAGGCAUCACCCAUCUUGACACCUCCGAUAUCUAUGGACCUCACACCAACGAAAUACUCAUUGGCAAGGUACCGUAUUUGCAAAUUUUCUGCUGUUGUGUGCCAUGCAUAAACUCUUGUACUUCUAAUUUCUAAAAGAGCAUAUUUGUAAGUAUUUUAGUUGGGUAUAUUAUAUUUAAACCCCUGCACUUGAAAUCUUGUCGCCCUUUAUAUUAUAUACGACAACUGGUCACAUCAAAGUGAAAGAGGAGGGCACUGUAAUUUUUUAUAUUGAAAGGUAUUUAUGUGUAAUUAUCAGAAACUUCAGGGGAGGUUUCUGAAAUUAUCCCUAAUAUUUAUACUAUAUAUAAAGGGAGCCUUAAAUUUGGUGUAAACCUUUUUUUGUCAUCUUUUAGAUUUCCAGCUUCACCCUCUCGAUCACUUAAUCAUACCACCAUAUUGCUAAUCAGCUUAACCACAAAUUAACUUUCACCCCAAUUAUCUAAAUAUAUAUUGCCUACAUAACUACCUACAAACAUUGUAACCAACAAGUUAAUUAAAAUUCUAUUAAAGAACUAUUUUUUUGACAAAUAUUCAAAAAACUAGUAAAAGAACUAUAUUGUCUCCCUUAAUUUUGUUUGUCAGCACUUAAACUCCAUCUGUUUAAAUUGUAAGUAUUAUUAGUCAAAUAAGACAAUAAUAUUCUUCAUUUUUUCAGAUGUUUGUCCUCAAUUGUAAGAGAAGGUCGUAGGUCUAGCACAUACGUUGAAUAGCUGUAUCCGAUUAGAAGGAUUUAGAACUCUUCUACCAUCUCUUUUUUUUUUUCUUUUGUUUUUUCCUUCAAAAUUCUACAUCAUAAUGGAGUUGGUAAAAUAGUACUAUUUUCGUCUUUGAAGUUAAAAUUGUCAUCAAUUUAUGGAAAGUUUACUAUUACUCUGAUAAGAGAUGUUAAAAUUUACUUUUUACGAGCACUAAAGUUUUAAAGAUUAUGAAAAGAGAAUUGUAUGAAGGAAUAGAAGGGAAAAGAAAGGUAAGAAAAUGGAUGGAUUGUGUUUGGAUUGAUUUUGGGUGGGGAAAGGAGAGGAAACGGAAAGAAAAGGAAAUGGAUGGAUUGUGUUUUGCUCAGACAUCAUUUCCAUACAAAAAUAGACGGAAACAGAGGGAAAGAAAAUCUAGUUGAUGAUUUUCUUAUAAAAUGCCUCAAGCACCCAAAUUUUACAUAAACUUGAGUAACCAUGUGUUUCAUAUCUGUAGAACUUGCCAUUUGUGAAACCUGCUUUAGAUAUGAAUUGUGGGAUGCAACAGCAGGCUAGGAAUGUUUGACUAAGCAACUUAUGUAAAUAUUUUAUCGUUAAGUGAAGUUCCUCUUUUGCUGUUCAAAAAAAAAAAAAAAAAGAGAGAGAGAAAAACCAUUCCUUUAAUGUCUGUCAUUCUACCAAACAGCAGAUUUAGGUUUUCUUUCUUUCCCAUCCAUAUCUAAUCCAAAUAAGGCAAAUGAGAACUAUUUUCCACUACUCUCCUUUCCUUUCUUUUUCACUAGGAUGUUUUAUUUAUUUAUUUAUCCUUUCCUUUGAUCCAAAUGGUUCCUAAAAGGGCCCUAAAUAAUUAUUCUACAUUGAUCAGUUCCCUAUUUUUGUAUUAAUUUGCAUGUGCACGAUUCUGUGUAUGUUCAUGUUGUGCAUCAAAUCUUGUGAAUGACAAAGCUAGAGUGUAAAUUUAAGUUGAAGAAAUAUAAACCAAAAAAGAAAAUGGAUUGGCUCCUUUAAGAGUAUCAGACUUCUAAACCCCAAGGAUUACAUAAUUUUCAUAUCCUUUGCUAUACAAAGAAGUGGCAUAGCCUUAACAAUGAAGUGCUGGAAAAACUCCAGAAGGACUGUGCCAUCCAUGAAAUCACAAUUCCGCUUGCUAUACCAUGCAUUAAUGUGUAUGCCCUUGAUGAUUAAUAUAAUGAAAUCAUGGUUCUAGGCCUUGAAGGAAGGAAUAAGAGCGAAAGUGGAGCUAGCAACAAAAUUUGCAAUCAGUUAUCAGGAUGGGAAAGUUGAUGUACGUGGUGAUCCAGCCUAUGUGAGGGCUUGUUGUGAAGCGAGUUUGAAGCGGCUUGAUGUGGACUGCAUUGAUCUCUAUUAUCAACAUCGCAUCGAUACACGUGUGCCCAUUGAAGUCACGGUUUGCUCCAUCUUGCCAUCCACCUCAUUCUUGAUGAAACAAAAGUUUGAUCAACUCCAAAUUUCGAAUAAUUCAGUUUCAUGUGCGUUUCAAUUCUUCAAAAAUUGCACAGAAAAGUUAGUCAACCUUAUGGUCUAGGCUAAUCUGCAGUAUGCUAAAUCUUAUUUAGCACCAGGCACCCUGAAAAGUGAAAACAAUGAAAAUGUCUUAUAUUAGCUUGGCAGUCCUGCUGAGGGAUAUACAGGUGGAUAUCAUGCUAUACAUUGUACAGCUUUCCUUUAGAAGCAAGAGACCUGAGCAUUCUCUUUCAUUUGAGAUAGGCUAUCCAGUUGAGUAAUGAUAUGCUAUUUACUUACCUUGUCAUUCGUUUUCAGUCGGUGCCAAAAGCACUGCAGAUAGAAGUUUUUUAGUCGAUAUCUAAAAAACGUGGUACUCAUUUUGUUCAGAGUAUAGCUUUUUGUCUAAUUGUGAAAGCCAGCUGCGACUACCCCAUUGACCUCUCUAAGCAAUUCAAAGAUUGCAGCUGCUUGCUUACAUUCAGCUUUUAUGAAAACAAUUUCUGUCUUCUUUUUCUAAUAUAGUCAGCAAAGAAUUGUCUUGUUUUUCCUGAGUAUUAGGAAGAAACUUUCUUGCAGUUUAAUCACUUAAAAUACAGGCAAGUAUAAAGGAAAUCAAGGAAAUUGACAACUGAUAAUUGAUAUGUACAGCCAUUAUUAUAUCUAGACGAAGUCAACAAUGUCGUGUAAUCAUAUUGGAGGAGCAUUAUGUUGGCAUGGUCCGGUGGGCUGUACAUAGAGAAGUAUCACUGGAUGCUUAUUGCCAUUUUUGUCAAUUAUUGAUUUCAGUUUGACGUAUACUUUGUCCACGACUUCAUUGAACUAGUGCAACUUUUACUUUUUUGCACGUAAUAUUUCGAUUAUCUGCCUAAGUAUUGAAUGUAAUAAAUCAGCUUUGCAUUUUCUUGUCCAUUGAAAUUCUCUAGAUAGGAGAGCUCAAGAAACUGGUUGAAGAGGGUAAAAUAAAGUAUAUAGGUCUGUCUGAGUCCUCAGCUUCAACAAUUCGAAGAGCACAUGCUGUUCACCCAAUAACAGCUGUGCAGUUGGAGUGGUCAUUGUGGAGCAGAGAUGUCGAGGAGGAGAUUAUUCCCACUUGCAGGUAGUGCAUAUAUUCUGCUGCAUUUUCUACGUGGUCUAGAAGAAAUAUGAAGUUCUUAAUUCAGUUUUUGGUAUAAUCUUUCAGAGAGCUUGGAAUAGGGAUUGUUGCAUACAGUCCACUUGGAAGAGGAUUCUUCUCUUCAGGUCCAAAGCUGGUCGAGAAUUUUACUGAAGGUGACCGCCGAAAGGUUUGUGCAUAUCCAAAACUAUGGAGUUUUUGAGUAUAGAUUGUUUAUAGUUCGAAUAAGUUUCUCACUCAUCUAGUUUUACCACAUUCAGUGACAAUCUUGCUUGAUAUCCCUAUUCUUGUCUAUCUGUCAUAUGUUGCUGCACUUUUUGAUGUCCAAUAAUUUGAUUAAGCCUUAUAAUAUGAUCACAUUUAAUCAAAUUUCUAUUAAGCAGAGCAAAUCAACAGGCUUUUUUUUUUUUCCUGUCGAACAAGUCUUGAGGUCUUUAGUUGAUUGAAUGAAUUCAGAUUUUGGUGUCCUCUGUAUUUAGUUCAAAUUAAAAGAUAUGGCGCUAGCUUUGUCAGAUUUUAGAUCUUAUAUUAAUUGAAGGUUGUUAUUGCAUGCUGGACAACAAUCACAAGCAAUCGAUAGUAUCGAAUUUUAAAGUGCAAAGAUGUCCUAAGACGUCAAAACAGGAAGAAACUAUGUCACUUUUUAUGUAAAAGUCUCUUUUCAGUUUUGAGGGGAAGUGGACCUUGGACUUCAAUUUCAUCAUUUAGUCUCAGGCACAGAAUUUCAUCAUUUUGUCCUGUGAAACUAUCAUUUUUCCUUUACCAUUAAUCCUAAAACUGAGUUUCAUUGGUCAGAAGUGUACUUCUUAGUACAAACAAUAGUUGAUAUGCAUUUUAAGGUUCCCCUUUGAUGGGAAAUGUAUCUCAGAACUUAACUCCAACAGUUGAUGUUUCCUACUUGGAUUAUUCAGUCCACCUUGAUGCAUUGUUCUUUGCCCUGAACUUGUGUCCUUCAAACAAUAUUGCUGAUCAUCUUGAAGUAAUGUACCGUCUGUUCAUUUCUCCCUUCUGAUUUCUUGCAUUAUAGUUUGCUCUUUAAUGGGAAAUGUAUCUCAUGAUCUACCUUCUACAAUUAAUGUUUCUUAAGAGUACUCAGUCCAGCUUACUGGAUUGUUCUUUCCCCUGAACUUUGUACACCUCAAACAAUACUAUUGAUCAUCUUGAAGUUAUUCAUAUUGUCUUCAUUUGUAGACGACACAUGCUUCACUUCCUUUUGCAUUUCUGGCGUUACAGUAGCAUAAAAUUUUGAAAUUCAUACAAUGUAGGGUAUGCCAAGGUUUCAAGCAGAGAAUUUGGAGCACAACAAGAACUUGUACGAGCAGGUCAAUGCCAUUGCUUCAAGGAAGGGUUGUACCCCAUCACAGCUAGCUUUGGCCUGGGUCCAUCACCAAGGCAAAGAUGUUUGCCCCAUACCUGGCACUACCAAGAUUGAGAACCUCGAUCAGAAUAUAGGAGCUUUGUCUGUGAAACUGUCGGCAGAGGAAAUGGCGGAACUUGAAUCUAUUGCUUCGGCUAUCAAGGGUGAGAGAUACGAGUCUGACGCUGGGCUUGGUACUUGGAAAACUUCUGAAACUCCGCCUUUGUCAACCUGGAAGCGGACAUGAAGACAUACCUUUGUUAUGGCAAUAAUUCCUUCUAG
rnacentral:lncRNA from 1 species